rnacentral:lncRNA from 1 species
AAAGUAAAUUAGGUGUCAGACUCAGAUGUUUUUCAAGCUUUAAUACCUAUUUCUGGUACGUGGAAAAACAACAGAAUCAAAUAGUUUAUAUGUAUCUUGUAACUAACAACUGUUCAUUAAGAACUGAAUAGGGGUGCAUAUUGUUGUAAAGAUCAACCAGGCUUCAGAGAGGGAAAGGGUCUUUUUCAAUUUAGUGUUUCUUGUGUUGGCCUUUUGGUUUUCUGUUGGGUAUAUUCAGUUUGAAUAGAUCUCAAUUUUUCUUUUGGGAAGGGGAAAUACUGUUAAUAGUACCACUUAGUUUUAUUUUUUGGGUAGCUGUUAUGUUUUAUUGAUUUCUCCACUUUCGGAGUAUUUAUAUUUGAACUUUUUGAAAGAGCAAUGAAUAUGCUGCUUAAUGCUUUAAGGAGGUUAAUUAGAGAUACAAGGAACCUAUUACUUCAUAAAAGAAAGCUCAGAGUACAGAAUUGUUAUUUCCUUAAGAAGUCAACUUUUUCCCAGUAGCACGGCGAACAGAUUUUUUGGAGAUCUCAUUCUCUUGGAAUCAUGUUUCCUUUCGUUCAUCUGUAACUGCUUAUACUUUUUCUUUGUCUGGAUGUGUUACUUACCUGCAUGAUUUAUUUUCAUGAACAUGGUAUUUGAUAGCCUCAGUUCUAGGUUGCAUAAUUCCUGGUAAAUCAACUCCAACUGAACAAAGAAGCAAAAGAAUUUAGAGACAUCUAUGGUAAUUAAAAUGGAUUGCUUAGAGUUUCUGCUUGUCUUGGUGGAUGUUAUUUUGUCAUCAUAUAUGUUUGUUUGCAUUGGAAACCAUAUGAGUAUAUUUCUGCAGGAAUACUAUUCCAUACUUUUCUCAGAGACAACGAGUAAGGCACAGUUAGUCCACAAUGCCAGUUUGACAAAUUGUUGUUGUGUGUUGGAUUUGAGACUUCUUGUCUUCAUUUAUUUCAUUGACGGACCUACCAAUUGAUAAUUGUCUUUUCUUUGUAAUUCUCUUUAUCAGGCACAUUCAUGAUCAGAAUUAAUUGGUAAUUUCCUUAUCUGUAAAAGUUGUCUCUUAAUCUAUGAACUGUUUGUUCCGCAACCUGUAGCUUGAUCCACAAAUAGGUAAAAAUUUAUGACCACAUAAACUUCUUUGUCAAUCAUGUCUAACAACUACGUGAUUCCAGAUGUAUUUUACAUCACUACAGUUAUGGAUUUGUUUUUGUUUUUUCAGUAUUCUGUGUAUUAUUAUUGACUUCUCUGCUAUUCUACAUCAUAAAAGGACCACCAUAAUUGAAAUGUCUGAAUAUAUUUUUGAAAAUGCAUGCAUCUGGUUCGUUAUAAAAUUCUUUGAUGUUAACAGUACUUGGGUUUUCCUGGUUGGUUCAUUGCCUUUAGAUUAUAAAUGCAGUACUAGGUUAAAGCUCUACAACAGCUCAUAUAAUAUUGGAUGUGCAAAUUCUAAAUGUGGACUGCCGUGACCAACACGAGUUCUUUGAUGUCUUAUAUCGUGUACUAGCAUGUAUGUGUAAUAUUGUAUUAGCUCAAGUUGAUGCUCCAUUUUUAUGGUCUUUGUACAAGUUGGCUCUGUAAACAUUUACUCGGGGCUUUUUGUGUUGUAUCAGGAAAACUGUACCUGCAAAGGGUUUUGUUUUCUUCUGUAAAAUGGUUUCAUGAAUUGCAUGUGCUUUUGCUGGUGGGUUGCUUUUUUCAGGGAUGGCAGCUCCGGAAAAGCCACCCUACUUGUCCUGGUUAGAGACUCUCUCCCUGGUGAGAUACUCCAUCAGAAUACCCCAAAAAAGAAAGUAAAUUUUCAGUUCAUACAAUUUGAUCUUAUUGCCAUUUCAACUAGUAUAAUUUAUACUGAUGGUUGAAUACCAUCAGAAAGUUUAACAGUGAAAUGACAAAAUUUCAAAGUGAAAUAAAAUCAAAGCAAAAAAAAAAAAAGUGAAAUUAUAGUUCUCCAAGCUUGUACCUUUCUUGUCAUCUUGAGCUUAAUUUAAUGGUAAGCAAAAAUGGAGUUAUAGAAAUAUAUGUGUAUAUAUAUGUAUGUAUGUAUACAAUAUUUAAUUAACCCAAAGACCAAGAAAACACAUGAAAGCAGCAGCUUAGGAAACCCAUCUUUUUCAUUACCAUAUAUACCUUAAAACCCUUCCUUUAUUCACGCCUUUUUGGAAGGGUUAAGUGAAGAAGGAAAGCUCCUGUCUCAGUCCCCACCACCUAAACUCUCUUUCAUGUCUCUUUCUACCUCCCUCUAUUUAAUUGCGGAAUAUGACACCAUACAUUUUAUUUAUUUAUUUAUUUUUUUUUUUUACUUUCAGUGAAAACUAAUUAAUCUUUUAAAAAUUAAGAUAAUAAAUUACAUUUUAAAUCUAUUUUAUUCAGACAAAAGGGUAAUUAAAAUUAAAUUAUAUUUUGAAUUAUUAAUAUAUAUAUUUAUUAUUACUUUCUUCUGUGCCCUCCUUGUCUGAAUAUCAAAUCAAGAGACACACAGUGUUGUCGCCCACAUUUGAUUUUUCCUAUUUUAUUGUCGUCAGCCCAAGUCAAUGAGUACCCCCUUGGGGACUGGAGUCCUCACUUUGACAAAUAUACCCCCGUAUUAUUACCCUCCUUUUAAUUUCAAAAUUAAUAAUUCAAUUUAAUUAUUAAAAAUAUAUAAAAAUUAUUACUAAAAUUAAAAUUAAAACAAAAAAAAUAACAAGGAAACGCCAAUUAAUUAGUGUCCAAUCACGUACGCCACCUCGAACUCCACGUGGCGGCCUCCGCCUACUCGCACCACAAACUGACGAUCACGUGUCAGGUCAACUGCCUUCCGUUACCAACCGUCGCUGACUUGUAUGCCGAGGUGUCCCUUCCUUAAUUCUGACCCUACACGUGGCACAUCCUCGUUUUUUUUUUUGUAAAUUAUAUUAAUAAUGUGUAAGAUAAUUACGAAAAGAAAUUCUUUAUAAAACUAAAAAUUUAAAGUGUCAAGGGGACCUUUACGUGAAUGAGUGCGCGUGUGUGUCACCCUACCACGGUCACGUCCUUGUCACGUGGCUUACCCUCCGUGUGGCGGCACCGCCCUCCUACGAAUAUUAUAAUGUUUUUCUUAUUUAUAAUUCAUUUUAUUUCAUUAAAAUAUUCGAAAAUAUCAUAUUACAUUAAAUUUAUGGCGAGGAAAUAUACUAUAAUUUCAAUUUUAUGUUAUUUUUGCAUUAUAUUAUACCAUACAUAUAUAUUAAAUUAUAUAUAGAGAGAGAGAUAUAUAUAUAUAAUAUUCUUGUUUUGUGAAAUUUAUGCUUUCAAAUCAAACAUGAUUUAACAUCUAAGUGGAAUUUUAUUAGUGAGAUUAUGAUGAAUAAUUAUAAUUGGAAAUACACGAGGAUCCCAUUAUUUUGUUGAGUCCACUAAAGAAUUCGUGUAGGGAUUAAUUGAAUUUUUAUUAUUUUUAUAUAAAUAAGAAGCAAAUGUAAAUGGGUAAGUGUUUAAUUUAAAUUUGUUGAAAUUAAAAUAAUAAUAAAUUUAAAGGAUAUAAAUUAAUUAAUUUUUUUUAAAUAAAUUUUUAGUCAAUUACUAAUUUUAAAUAAAUUAACUCAAGAAUCAUAUAAAUUAGAUUAUAUUUAUCCUCGUAUUAUAUAAUAGGUAAAAUCUCAAUAUAUUUAAUAAUUAUUGUCUUCUUAUUAUUUUAAUAUUUAUCAAUUAUUUAUAUAAUAAAUAAUUUAAAUUAACUAAAAAAGUUUAUAAAAAAUUAGACCCGUUAAAAAUAUGCAAAUUUAUUUAACAAAAUAUACAAACCUAAUUUGAAAAUACCACAUAAUAUUUGAAUACUACUUUGAUUUAAAAUAUAAAAUUAUUAAAUAUUUAUUUAACAACAUACCACAUUAUUGUCUUGUAGAUCAAAUAAGAUAUAUAUAUUUUUUAAUAAAAAACAUUUUUUAAACUAAAUAAAUAAAGUAAGAAAUAUGAGAAGAUGACACGUGGCAAGUAGAAGUGAGAGAUGGGAAAAAAGCAACAGUAGGAAACAGACAGAACCUUAUCGGCAACUACCAAAACUGUCCUUUUGGGGGUGGGGGGGGGCCACUUAUUGACCACACCCUUUCCUCUCCGCCUCUCGGCCACUCACCCUCCUAUUGAUUUUACCAUUCUACCCUUCCCCCAUCCCACAAAUUACCAUCCCCGUUUUAUUUAUAAAAGAAGAGACAAAAGUCAAAUAAAUUAAGAAGUCGUGAUGCAUUUUAUUUUAUAUUUAAUAAAUACUAAUUUUUAAGUAUCUCAAUUUAAUAGUUAAAAUUUUUUUAAACUUUUAACCCUACCAAUUAAUGGGUAUGUAGCUAGGCGAUAUAAAUAUAAAUAUAUAUAUAUAUAUGUGUGUGUUUGUGUGUAUAUAUCUAUCAUAAAUCACUUCGAUAGCCCACAAUAAUUAAGAAAAUUCCUAUUUAAUACUCAAAAUAGGAAAGUAAAGUACUUUUAUGAUGAUAUAGAGUACCCCAAUUGAGAUUUCUCAUUAAUUAUUAAAAACAUAUGCGACAUGUUUUAUGUGUUUUCCUUUUCCAAUCUUUUUGGUGUCUAUAUGUGUGUGUGUAUAUAUAUAUAUAUAUAUAUCUUCAAAUAUAUGUACUUGUAUUCAAAUUUAUAUCAUUAUUUAUGCACAAAUGCAUGCAAGUUGCAUAAAUGAUAUAUAUAUAUAUAUAUACACACGCACAUAUAUAUACUCGCACGUAAUAUUAAUUGUUAUGUAUGUAUAUGAAUGUGUGAUCAACAUUUACUUGAUAAUUUGAUUUCCAAAUUUAUUUUUAUUCUAUCUACAAAAAUUACCAAAUGUUAUACUUCAAGCAUGUAAAAUUUAAUAUAUAUAUAUAUAUAUAUAUGUUAAAAUUGCACGAUAAUGGAUAUAAUAUAAUUUAAUUUUGUAGGAAAAUUCAUUAAUUGUUCGUAUACAUACAUAUAUAUAUAUAUAUAUAUAUAUAUAUAGAAAAAGGUGAUGUAUGUCUUUGAGGUUGGAGACAAGUAAUUAAGCAUGCAUGACAAAUGCAUAAUGACAAUAUAAUGGUCGGUUUCUGGCUGAGUUUGCCACGUUACCUUCUUCAUUAAUUUUACCUCCCAAUGACAUUUUGGACACACAUAUAUAAUACCAUAUAUGUUCACAUAUAUAUUUCAUAAAUAUAAUAUAUUUAUUGAAAUUCAACACCAAUUUGAUUAUUAUAAUGUUCAAAAUAUUUAUUUUAUAAAAAAAUAUAAUAAAUUUAUUAAGAUUAAAUAAAAUAUUUGUGUGUUGUAAUUUUAGUUAAAUUUUCCAUUCUAUUUAAUUUUAUAUUUUGAAUUAAAUUUAAAUUUAUUAUUUUUAAUUAAAAUAUAAAAAAUUUAAUCACUAAUUAUUAUAUUAUUAAUUAUAUAAAAUUAUAUUUGUAUUUAUAUAAGUACGUACGUACAUUUUAUGGCACUUAGUGUAGCAUUAAUUAGUUGUGUGUACAUUUAUUUCUUAACUUAAAAAUAAAUUUAAAUUAAUGUUUUGGAUUCCCUCGCCCGUACGAUUUUCUAAAAAAGGAAAAUUAAGAAGAAUACAAAAUGAAAUAUGUAUUAUUACGUGAACUAUAAGAUUUAAAUUUCUUGAUAUAUAUAUAUAUAGUGAAUGCGUGUAUGUAUAUAUCUCUAAGACAUACACAUUGCUAAAUAAUAAGUCUUUUAAAGGGUCUAAUUUAUUAUUUAUAUUGGUUCCAACUAAUUUAAUUAAGAUUUAAUUUGUUAUUUAUGUUAAUAAUAUUUCACAGAUAUCUACACUCUACACCUAUAUAUUUACAACUAUAUAUAUAUAUAUAUAUAUAUAUAUAUAUACACACACAUAUAUACAGCUGGGUUUUUAAUUUUACAUAAAUACGUGAAAUUUAAAGAUAUAUAAAAUCAAAAUUAGACUAAAUACCCAAUAAAUAAUUUUAUGUAAAUGAUAAAAAAAAUAAACCAUGUUAUCAAACUUUCAUAAAAUAUUAUGAAACUUUGGUUAUGGAAGUAUAGCUUACACGCCCACAUUUACAUAUAUGUGUGUGUGUAUAUAUAUAUAUAUAUAUGUAUACACAACGUACACAAUGCAAAAACGAGUGCACAUAUAUUUGAUGUACUGAAUAAUUUCCAGACGAAAUAAAAAUAAAAAUUGGAUACGAUUCCUACAAAACUCCAAAAGGAAAAGAAGAACACAUAAUUAAUGCACCAUGCCCUGCUCAUGAGGUAACAUGAAAUUGAACCUACACCGCCUCUUCAUACACUCUCUGAUAAUCACUGCUCGCCACCCCCGCAUAAGGUUAAAACUCCACAUUUAAUGCCAAAAGGUUUCCUAAACUAGCCAAUACAUACGUACAUACAUACAUAUAUAUAUAUAUAUACACGUAUACGUACACCCGCACAAAUAUGUAUACAUAUGUUCAUCCUAAUUUAAUCACACCCAUAAUUUAAUUUAUUAAAAGAAAAAAAAAACUGUUUAAUUUAAUUAUUUCUGACAGGAGGAAAAAAGAAAAGGAAACGUCCGGAAGAAAAUCUAUCGCUGUCCGGACACGUGUACGACAAGGAUGAUAGAGUGCAGAGAUCGUGAUUAGUACGAUGGGCGUACCAGAUUCACUGUAACGUACUCAUCAUACGGCUUUGAUUUUUUAUGCACUGUUAAGUAAUUAUCAUAACAAUUAUGGGGUCCCGGGGUAUUUAUGGAAAUUCAUCAAUUUGUGGAGGGUAUUAGUGUAAUUUCAUGGUUUUCCCCCCUUCUUAAUUGCUCCUUGUAUAAAUAGUGCGAAGCUGGUGCGUUAUACAGUUGAGACUCAUUACACCUCCUCCAUAAACAAUUACAGUCAUCUCUCUCUCUAUCUCUGGUACUCUCUCUUCUCUCUACUUGAAGCGUUUUUCUUCUCCAGCCACACAAGAUAAUAACUAUAUAUAGAGAUAAUGUAAACUAUAUAUAAUACAUACACGUAUAUAUACAUGUAUACUCGAUAGUUUUUAUAUGAACCUUCCGGUUUCAUAUCCUUAAUUAACUGUAUAGAUAUAUAUAUGUAUAUUCGUUAGUUUUUAUAUGAAUGUUCUGGUUUCAUAUCCUUAAUUAACUAUAUGUAUAGAUGUAUGUAUGUAUGUAUAUGAAUCUUUCUCUCUUAUAUCUCAUUUAAAUUUUCUUCUUCCUUCUAAUUUUGUGUGUGUGUGUAUAUAUGUAAUAUAUAUAUAUAUAUAUGUAGAUACAUGUAUACUUAGAGAUGAAAACGGUUAUUGGCAGGCAAGAUGCAUCAAGUAUAUGUUAUGCGUAUAUGCGAUGUAAUGAUUGUAUAAUUUUAUAUUAUUUUAAUUUUUUUAUUGAUUUAUUUAAAAAAUAUUUAAUUUGAAAAAUGUGUAAGUAAUUUCAGGUAUUAAUCCAGAGCUCGCAGACUAGUCAUGGAGAAGCCGAAUUCAUCGACGACCAGCUUGGUUAGGACAAAGUCGGACCAGCUACUGGAGAUUGCAACGGCUGCGUUGAAGUCACCCCCAAAUGCGACCGACGGCGACGGGAUAAAAUCAGAAGGCGGCGGGACUCUCUCGAGGAAGUCGAGCCGGAGGCUUAUGAUUCCGGCUUCGCCGGGACGCGGCGGCGGCAAUAGCAAAAACACGCACAUUAGGAAGUCGAGGAGCGCUCAGCUGAAUAAGUUGGAGUUGGACGAAGUUAGCAGCGGCGCGGCUCUCAGCCGAGCGUCCAGCGCUUCUCUUGGCCUGUCGUUCUCUUUCACCGGCUUCACCAUGCCUCCCGACGAGAUCGCCGACUCCAAGCCGUUUAGCGAUGAUGAUACACGUAAGUAUAGCUCUAUAUUAUUACAAUGUGGCCGCUAAUUUUGAUGCAAUAUUAAUUACUCUUUUUAUUUUCUUUUAAUUAUUUAUUGUCGGCACAACUCCAAAUGAAAAAUACACAUGAGUUUAUGCAUUAAUGGGUUGGUUUCAAAUUCGCACGGUGCAUAUCUCUUGGCAAAUAAUAUAUGGGGUGUGAUUUGGCAUUUCAUUUUAAUUACUCUUUAAAAUAAAUCUCUACUUUUUUUUAAUAACAUUAUUUCUUUUUUAUUUUAACCUAUUAGUAAUAUAAUAUAUAUAUACAUAUAUAACAGCCAUUAGAAUUAAAAAAUAAAGAUAAAUGGGUAUUAGCUUUUUCUUUUUUGGUAAGAAAUAUAUAUUAUUUUCUUGUGAGAAAAAAAAAAAAGUGGGAAAAUGGGUAUUGUUUGAUAGAUAUGGAUAUGAUUUUGGCCUAUCAUAAAAGACAAUAAGGCGCAUUGCCCAUUAAAAAUAAAAUAAAAAAUUUCAGAAAAAGGGACAUAAAUUUAUACAUUAUAAUAUUAAUUUUGUGGUUGUUAAUAAAGAAGAAAAAAAAAAAUUCAUAACUUAAAAUUAUAUUGUGCGAUUGGAUUUAGUUGUUCUGGUCUGGUCUUGAUUUCAAUUUUUUUUUUAAAUAAAAUAAAUUAUGUUGUGUGAAAUUGCGUUAUUAAAUGACAAGAAACCAAAACUGUCAGCUUUUUAGGAAGAAAGAUUUUAGACUUCUCAGUACUCUCUUAGGCUGUGUGUUUGGUACUCUUUUGUCACCUACCGUGUAGAUCAGAUCAUAUUUGAUAUUUAACAAGAGCCGAUUAUGUAUUAAUUUUUUCUUAUUAGAUUAAUUUUAUUUUCAAGUAUUGUAUACGUUAAAUUAUUUUAAAUCACCCAGGUUUGAUUAUGUUUAAACUACGGUAAAUUAUCAUAGAAUUCAUAUAAUUUUAAAGUGAAUUUACGAAAAUAGUUCAUUUUAUUUCAAACAAUACCCUUAAAUCACAAGAAUUAAUUGAUGUUUUGACAUAAAACUCACACACACACACAUAUAUAUAUAUAUAGAUACAUAUAGAUAUAUCGUUAUCCAUACAACUGCAUUGCCUGACAAACUGUGUUGCUGAAGAGAAAAUUAGUCUACCAGGUGUCCCAAUUUGUCAGAAAUUCCAAAAGAUAGGGUUUGGCAAUUUUCGGAAUAUGAUUCAGUCUGGACAUACAUUUAGUAAAAUUUUAAUUUAUGCAGAUGCAUAUGAUUUGACACAAUAAAUAUUUUUAAUUAAAUAAAAAAAUAUUCACAAAUUCUCUUGCAAAUAGUACAAAUUAAAGUGUAAAAAGGGUUUAAGCAAUUAGGGAAUUGUAAGUAGAACUAGACAAAAUUUAAUUAAUUAAAAUUAGUAAGAAUUUUAUUCAAUUUUUUAAAGAUACAAAUACUUUAUUUUUAAUAAAUUAUAUAAUAUGCAGAAUAACUAAUUAAAUUAUUAAUUUUUGUAAAAAACUUAAAAGUUAUUAUUAAAAAGAUAUAUGAUAAGACAUCAAUAAUAAAUGGUAUUAUUUUAUGGACCAUAGAUUGUGAUGUGUUUACACAUACAAGCACAACUCACAAUCAUUUAUUUGCAUGACUGUGCAAAAUGGGUGCUAGCUGGGUCAAGGUACCCUAAAAAGAAGGUGCUGUCAAAUUCAUGUGGAGAAAAAAAAAAAAAAGAGGAAAUGUAUUUCAGAUUAAUAAUUGAUCCUUCCUAGCACCCAUAAACGUCUCAAUCUUAACAUAGAACUACCUUAAGUCGAUGGUGUUAUAUAUAUAUAUAUAUAUAUAUAUAUAUAUACACACACACACACACGCAUUGUAACUUAUAUGAAAAUAAAAUUGAAAACCCAUCUUUGUUAACUAGUAUACUUUCUGUCAAAAUCAUCUGGAAAAUUAUGAGCAGAAUCGUCAGCAAGAAUGGUGAGGUUGAGUUUUUCAUCUUCUUCUUCUUCUUCUUUGUAAUUGAAUGCAUACACACACACACACACACACACACACACAAAAGAUACAAGUUUUUAUUAAUUGAAUGCACAAAAGAAAAAUGAAGAGCUUCUUCUCCUCCUUUUACAAGAAAAACAUCAAAAUAGAAUUCCAAAAGAGAAAAGCUUCACCACCCUUAAUUAGAAGAGAUCAAGCUCAGGUAGAACAAGGCACUGCAUUUUCAAACAUAUUUCAACUUCAAAUGCACAAAAAGUCUUGAAAAUUUCUGUUGUUGCAGCUGAUGAUCUUGAAGCGGGCACCAAGAAGCCGAAGUUUCAAACAGAACCAACCUUGCCAAUUUAUCUGAAGGUAAGUCACUACUAGUCUUUCCCAUGGCAGAGCUUUCCACAUUUUUCCAUCGCUUAUUAACUGCAUCUUCAAGCACUGCGACAUGAUCUGGCACUUGUUUGGUUGACAAUGGAGCCUGGAUUGAUUUCUAUUUUCGACACUUAUGUAUUUGGACAGGAAAGGAUGGAGAGUUAUCUAAAGAUCAACUGCGUUUCAUAGAACAUGGCUUGCAGGGUCAGGUUCAGUCUUGUACAGAAGUCUCACCUUAUAUGACAUUUAUGUACAAGACAAGACAGUCAAAACUGUGAAACAUUCGGUUAAUUUUAACCUCCAAAGAAACACACUUAACCAAUCCAACUGUCCCUUAAAGAGAAACAUGUCUGAAGAUUAAAAAAAAAAAAACAGCAUUUGAUACUAAAAAGUUUCAUUUUAUAUCACUUUGAUACUGGGUCUAGAGAAUGCUCUGAGUCCUGCAUUUGGUGUUCUAACAUCUUUCUUGCUACGCUAGGCUAUAUCUAUAUCGAUAUGUUAACUGCAAGAAAAUUCUGUCAGUUUAUUUAAAUGAAGGCUUGUUUCCAACUGUAAUUUGCAGUUCAAAGAUGUGUCAUACAAAGUGAUUAUAAAAGGGAUGACAUCGACUGAAGAGAAGGAUAUCUUGAAUGGGAUUACUGGCUCAGUAAAUCCUGGGGAGGUUUUGGCACUUAUGGGACCUUCUGGUAGUGGGAAAACAACACUGCUCAAUCUGCUUGGUGGCAGGAUAAAUCAGCCAAAUAUUGGUGGUCUGAUUACUUACAACGACAGACCUUACUCCAAGUUUUUAAAGAGCAGGUAAGAAUCUUAAACUUUUUUCAAGCCAACUAUUUGCCAACUGUUUGAAUUCAGCUUGUCUAGCUAAUCAAGUAUUUUUUUCAGUUAGCAAGUUUAAUUUUGACUAAAACUGAGCCGACAUUAAACAGUUUGCAAAUGUAUUGGCUUGUUCUCAGCACUGAUAAGCACAAACUAACGGUACAUUAACAUGGUAAUAAAUGACAGGAUAGGAUUCGUGACUCAAGACGAUGUUCUGUUUCCUCACCUUACAGUGAAAGAAACACUGACCUAUGCAGCACUACUAAGACUGCCAAAGACUUUGACAAAACAGCAAAAGGAAAAACGAGCAAUGGAUGUGAUAUAUGAACUAGGUUUGGAGAGGUAGAAACUCUAUUACUUGAUUUGGAUUAUAGCAAUUAUUAGUUACCUUCAGUCUGCAGAUAGCAAGGAGUGUAAUAAUAAGCAUCUAGUACUAACUUUGCUUCUCAGUUUGAGGCUGAUGAAUAGGAGAACCAUACAUGUGCAGGUGCCAAGACACAAUGAUUGGUGGCUCCUUUGUCCGGGGAGUGUCAGGUGGAGAGAGGAAAAGAGUUUGUAUAGGCAAUGAGAUCAUAAUCAACCCUUCCCUCCUGUUUCUCGAUGAGCCGACCUCUGGCUUGGACUCUACAACUGCUUUAAGAAUUGUUCAGAUGUUACAAGACAUAGCAGAGNNNNNNNNNNNNNNNNNNNNNNNNNNNNNNNNNNNNNNNNNNNNNNNNNNNNNNNNNNNNNNNNNNNNNNNNNNNNNNNNNNNNNNNNNNNNNNNNNNNNNNNNNNNNNNNNGUAUGCUUUAUGUGCCAAGCAGGCUGCAAGAUAUCUACAUAUAUAUAUAUAUAUAUAUAUAAAUAACCUGGAGUUAGUACGCGACUAACCCACCCUGACUCUUGUUAUACAGGCUGGGAAAACUGUAGUUACAACAAUUCACCAGCCGUCAGGUAGACUCUUCCACAGAUUUGACAAGCUGAUUCUUCUAGGGAAAGGAAGCUUGCUUUAUUUUGGAAAAGCGUCAGAAGCUAUGGUUUACUUCUCGUCUAUAGGAUGCUCACCUCUAAUUGCUAUGAACCCAGCAGAGUUCUUGCUAGACCUUGCGAAUGGCAACAUAAAUGAUGUAUCAGUACCAUCAGAACUAGAGGACAAAGUGCAGAUUGGAAACUCAGGGAGAGAGAUGAGGAAUGGGAAGCCAACCCCAGCAGUUGUCCAUGAGGUAACUUUUCACUAAUAUUACUUGAAAGAAAAACGAUAUUCUCUGCAAAUUAUGAAUUGGAUAAAAUGAUGCACUGACAUUCAUAAUAGGAAAACUGAAAAUUGGACCGGAGAUCCAGAUAUGAAGACAAUGAUUAUUUUCCAUUAGACAUCUCUAAUUUCAAGUUUGUAUCCUCAGCAUGCAGCCAAUAGCUGCUCCACUCCUCAAAAUUCCUCCAAGAAACAUAUUAUUGCUGGUAUAUAGAUCAGAUGACUGAACAGUUUAUAUGGAUCAUUUUCCCUUUUUUUUGAAAUAAUCUGUGGAUCAUUUUCUUGAGAGAAAAUAUCCUCAAGUUGGAACAUUAAAAUAUGGUAGGUGUCUCAUUUAGGUUGCACAUUCCUUUCCUUGAUUAGAUAUUACCACAUGUGAACUUUUAGGCUGCUUAGAUUCGCUCAUUAACAAGUAGACAGCAGAAUAGCUUACAGUUAAUAGUUCUUGACUUAUAGAAUUUUCAUUACUGCUCCAAUAUCAAAAACUACUAUGCUCUCCUUCUCAAAAAAAAAUAAUAAUAAUAAAGAAAAGAAAAAGAACUACCACUUUCCUAACAGUCUUCUCCCAUUAAAAGCAGUACCUCGUGGAGGCAUAUGAGACACGAGUAGCAGAAAAAGAGAAAAAGAAACUUACAGUUCCUAUUCCACUUGAUGAUGAAGUUAAAUCAAAAGUUGCGUCCCAAAAGCGACAAUGGGGGACAAGCUGGUGGGAGCAAUAUUGCAUACUAUUCUGGAGAGGAAUUAAAGAACGACGACAUGAUUAUUUCAGCUGGUUGAGAAUCACUCAAGUUUUGUCUACUGCAGUCAUUCUAGGACUACUAUGGUGGCAGUCAGAUGGUAAUAGCCCCAACAGCUUGCAAGAUCAGGUAAAUUAUCAUCUUUAUCCAGCUUAGAAGUUUUACUAAAUCGCUAAUUUUCCAAGAUAUUUUCAAGUUCCCCCCAAAAGAAUCUGUUAUGGUCACUUUGAAAAAGAUGAAGGGUUUACUGACUCAGAAAAAGAAUUAGAAGAGCACAUAACUAAAACCAUAGACCGCUACAAAAAUGAGCCUCUCAUAAAAUGCUACAGAUUACUCAGUUUAUACCCGUUUGGACACCUAAAUUCCCUUAGGUUUUUUAUUCUUCAUCUAAUUUCUUAAUUUAUCUGAUCAGCUACCAUCACCUUAAAAAUGGUCAGUCAGUAACAAGGUUUCAGACACAGAGCGAGAUAAAAAUUAUAAAGUAAGAACAGAGUUUAAUAGCCGAUGAAUUAUAAGGAAAGGGAAAUAUAUAAUGCAGAGGCAUUUCUUUCUAAUUUAAUUUUUAGGUAGACAGAACUUACCUCUUUAAAGUUGAAGCUGAAAUUUGAUUCAUAAGGUAUUAGUUAAAAUUGAAUUUUUCCUUGCAGACAGAAUUUAUGAAACCUAGAAACUUAAGCUUCCUGUAUUGCAGGCAGGGCUUCUUUUCUUCAUUGCUGUUUUCUGGGGAUUCUUUCCGGUCUUCACUGCAAUCUUCACAUUUCCUCAAGAACGAGCCGUGCUGAGCAAGGAAAGAGCAGCUGACAUGUAUAGACUAAGUGCAUACUUUGUGGCUAGGACUACAAGUGACCUCCCACUUGACCUAUUACUACCAGUUCUCUUCCUUCUUGUUGUGUACUUCAUGGCAGGCUUGAGACUAAGUGCCGGUCCCUUUUUCCUAAGCAUGCUUACAGUCUUUCUCUGCAUUGUUGCAGCCCAGGUAAACCUGUUUGAAAUUACUCAUCAAGAGAAAACUGAAAAAACUCAUACCUGAUAUCAUUUGCUAAAGACUGGUUUCUGCAUCAGGGACUUGGACUAGCUAUUGGGGCUACAUUGAUGGACUUAAAGCGGGCCACAACUUUAGCAUCAGUAACUGUCAUGACCUUCAUGCUGGCUGGAGGGUACUUUGUCAAGGUAAGAAAGAAAUUUCUUGAAGAAUAAAAUCAAUUUUCUGAACAUUUUUAUUUACAAGAAGAGGAAAAUGCUUCGGCCUUACAAGUUUCAACAACAGAAAUUCCAAAGAUAAUUGCAAUAAAAACCGCUUCUGUACUUAUCAAAGAAGUCCAUUUUUGCAUUCAGUUAUCUAGAACACAUUGGGUUGAAAUGACAAGGGAUUUUUCUUCAUCACUGCAGAAAGUUCCAGUAUUCAUAUCUUGGAUCCGCUACAUGUCUUUCAACUACCACACUUACAAGCUUCUUCUCAAGGUUCAAUAUGAAUGCAUCAUGCCGACAGUUAAUGGCAUGAGAAUAGACAGUGGUCUAAUGGAAGUAAGUGCCCUGGUAGCAAUGGUUUUUGGCUACCGUCUCUUGGCAUACCUUUCAUUGCGGAGGAUGAAGCUCCAUUCUGGCGCUUAGAUGAUCCACAAAUUUGGAAGAAUGUAUACCUCGACAACUUAACAAGAUGACUAUCACUAUCCAGUAUCCACAUGUCCAAGAGCUAUCUUUCAAAGGCUUGGGUUUGAGGGAUCGUGAAAAGAAAAUCCACAAAGGAUAUUCAAUCCUGAUUUUUUUGGAUUUUCAGCCUCUAAGAAUUUUGUCAAUGCAUCCCAUGUAGCAACCAAUGAAGGUUGCAUCGUAGGCAAAUGUGUGGAAUUUAUGAAGAUAAUUUAAAAAGAUUUUGGUUAAUUACAAACUCGGAUUUACAGGCUAGUUAUUAUAUCAAAGACAAUCCAUCUACUGUAACUAACCUAGACUAUGCCUUUCCGACUGAAACUGGGAAUAAAUUCUGAAAGUAGUUCCAAAUGGAAAUUUUGUCUAGCCAAGCCAAGUUAAUAAUUUGAUUGUAUUUUCGUGAACUGUUAUUGCAAAGCUAAGCCCAGUGACAACAAUAUUACACAUCAAAUAAGAACAUUAUUUAAAGCAAAUCUUUGUAGUGCUAGAAGCAGCACAUUAGUGAAUUCAGUUACCAAACUUAUUCGGAACCGGGGAUGAUAUGAUAUAUCUCUGAAGUGACUGAUUGCCAGUGAUAUGAACCUCACUUGAGGUCGAUGGAGGAUUAAAACCGCAAAGCUAAUGAGAGAAACUUUCUAUACUUCAACCUGCUGGAUCAUAGCUUUGCAGUAGUAGUUUCCAUCAUCCAACCUGCUGUAGAUCACACCUUUACAGUAGCUCCUCCAACCAAGGUAUCAUGAUAUGUCAUCUUUCCAUAUGAUGUCUUAUGCCAAUGUCCUUAACCAACCAAGUAAUGGGAGAAGGGCGGCAUCUAAUACAGAGGACUUCUUCUCUAGCCCUGUAGAGAAAACAAAAUAUAAGGCAAUAAAAUUUGCAGCGAUCGUGGGCUCUGUUUGGAGCUUUCAUUUUACAGACAUAAGCUAAUGCUGCUGAUCAAUUUGAAUGACUAGAGACUCAUACCCAAUGAACAUCAUUAUUCCCUCUCGACUACUUUGCUUCGGAAAAGAUUAUGCAAAAUUAUUCAGUCAUAUUGGCCAUUUAACCAACUAUUUGAUGUUUCUACUUCUGUUAUGGUAUCACUAGGGCUUCAACCAUACAGAAUUAAUUUUAAUCUAGUCCUGAUCAAAUUGCAAACAAGGGGUUAAAAAGAAAGAAUUAGAAAAAAAAAAAGAAAAUGCUCAGGUCCAGGCACUGCACUGCCUCAAGGAAGAGUAUACUGAUGCCAUAUAAGGUGCACAAGUUAUAUCUCGAUUUAAGUACACUUUUCGGGUGGCUUGCAGCUAAUGAGCAUUAUAUACUCCUCAUAUCCUCUUAACUAACUUAAUUAGGAAAAUGAGAAAGAAGUUCAGCCAUCUGAGUCACUGAACCAACCAAUUAAGAUGAUCAUUUAAAACACUGAAACAGAUGGAUCAGAAAACAACUGCAGAAGUUAACAUAGGGGCCAAAAUCUCCUACAGCAGGUGCAAGUUUGAAUGAAUCUUUUCACCACUGGUAUUUACCUAAUCAAGCUUUCAAAAAUGAUGAUAAGACCAUUCCAUGGGGAGAGAGGAAUUCUUACCAAUGUCAGCAGCUACUCGAUGAGCACACAUAACUCCUGAGAAAGCAACAGCUAUUACACCUUGUCCAGGAAAACAGGAAUCUCCAACACAAUAAAGGCCUUUUAUAGACUGCAGAUUUUAGUUAUUGGAUUAACCUGUCUAUUUAGAAAGCAGAAAUUUACUAAAAGCUACUUAUUAAAAAGCAUCCACCAGGUGGUGCCUGUCCUGACCUAGUGGUCAGUGCCUUUCUUCCACAAGGUAGACAGGUACAGCUUAAGUCAUGCCAAUUAUUCAUCACUCAAAAAAAGAAAAAUUAAAGCACCCACUUAUUAUGACUUACUGUGGUAUUAAAUGGCAUUCCCAGUAAGCCCUUAGGAUUUCCACGUGGCAUUGGUCCAUAAGUUCCCUCGUCACGGGCCAGGAAUCGUCUAUGCGUCUUUGGUGUCCCCACCUGCCAUAAUUGCAGACACUUUUAUGCUAAACAGAGAGCCAUAGACAACAAGAAGAGCUUGUACAAGGAAAACCUUGUUACAAAAUGCACCAGUAAGCCAUAAUUUUAAUGUACUUCAAGAGAAUGGAACUCAAUUUCCCCUUUACCCCUAUUCAGCUAACCACAUGAACCCAUUUCAACCAUCCCAUUAACCAUGUUCACGAGGACUGAUCACAACUAUCUAUAAGCCUCUUUACACUUUAAUAGCAUGAUGGCAUGGCCCAUACCUCCUUAAGAACAAUAGACGAUUUGAGCCCUGGAAACAAUUUUUUCUCCAGCCUGUUAAUGAUUUCAUCUGCCACAAUCUCCUUUUUUGCUUCAUAAUGUUUUCGAGGGAGACCCUAAAAAAGGUUAAAAAAAGCCUCUCAAUUCUUAAAAUUCAACAUAUUCAACAUUUAUUAACAUCACUGCUAACAUUUUACGAAGGGUCAGGAAGGAACACAAAGAUACUAAGAGGAGACGAGUUUUUUACGUUCACAUAACAUCAAUAUCAACAGCAAUUUAUAAUUAAUGAUUGCUUUGAUUGUACCUCCCAGUCUUCUAUUGAAGAAGUUGUAAAUAUGUGAAGAAUAUGGUGACCACUGGGAGCCAACGAUGAAUCAAGAACCGUAGGAAUGCUUAAAAAGAUACUUCCGUAAGGCUCCUCCAGUCUAGUCCAGUUAUCCUGAAUAAUCCAUGCAAUCUGUAUCAGGUGCCACAGAAGCCACAGGAGCUGUGGGAAAAAUGAAAUACCUCAAGCACAAAAUGGUGGCAAUCUGUGUCAGGUGGCAGAACCCCAGCUUUAACACCCAUGUGAAUGGAAAGAAAGGAUGGAGCCUUAACAUAAGCUUUCUGGAAAUUUUCUUCCUCAACUGGAAGCGUUUCUGCUUUUAGUAGCUUCCCUACACCAAAGCAAGUAUGAGUUUGCUAUUUUAUGAAGAAACCAGUAAAAGAGUGGGGACAAAACAUGGCCAGAUCAAUUAAUAAAGUGCAUAUAACUCCUUUGCAGAACAUACCAAAUGUAUCCCAUCUAGUAGCAUUUGAUAUUAUGGUUUUGGCAAAAAAUUCCCUUCCAUCUGACAGCCUUACGCCAACCUAAAAAAACAUCAAACUAAAAUCAAGAACAAAAACAAUAAUUUCACAAUACAACCAUGAAGUUUAAUGAUUCUGGAAGCAGUUAUGCAUAUAUUAUGGUUGCUGGGAAGUGUAUUAUAUGAGAAGUAGGGUAUGGGUAUAAUGAUAAUAUAUCCCUUGUAAUCUUUGUAAUUAAUUCGGGUUCCUUGUAUGAUUGCUAGGGACUUGUAUAUAUAGGUCUCUAGUAUUUAAUAAAAUACACAACAAUUUAUUCUUCUACAAGGGUGAAACUUACCGCCUCCCCAUGCUCAAGUAUAAUGCCAGUGACAUUUGCCUUGUAAAGUAUUUCACUUCCAUGAUCAACCAGUCCUUUUGCUAAGGACUUUGCAAUUCCACCAACACCACCAACGGGGUAGUUAAUUCCUCCAAAAUGUCUGUCACAUAGAACCUGGUGCAAACUGGAUCAGAGGAACAAGAUUAAGAAUAGAAAGAAGGGAGAUCCAGAGGUGAUUAAAAAGCUUACCAUGCUUGCAUUGAUCAUUGGUGUUUGCAAAGCCUUAACUGUGCUUACUAUGAAACACUGCAGAAAAGCAACAAGGCAUUUUCAGCCUUCACUGGAUAACGGAAGCUCUAAAACAAAAAAACAUCCAGCAUGGUGAUCAAAGGAAUGAUUCUGUCACACCUCUGCAUCUAUAAAAGACAAUAAUUGUGGAUCCUUGAUAUACUUUCGAGCUAUGUCUCCAGCAUUUUGAGGCAGAUAAUAGGCUGAACAAAAUAAAAACAGGUCAUCCCCAUUAAAGAAAAGGAAUUUUUAAUGGACUCUGUCUUCAAAAGCCUCCAUUGUGCACAAGGGUUUUUCAGAAAAUAUAGAAAUAUGAAGUCUUCAAUAAUCAAGAUGUUCUAGCAGAAAAACCUUAACAAAAAUGAAUCACAUGAAGGAGACUGGAGAAAAGUACGAAAAGCAAAUCCCCACUGAGAGUCCAACCUAGACAAAAGGGAACCAUAUAAGGACUGCAGGGUCUACCACUACACACAAAUCAGGGUCCAUCAUUACGUGCAAGUUACUGUGUCUUAUCAGCCACUAUUAUGAUGUGAUAUCAUGUAAAUGCAGCAGAACUUUUUCUUCAGUGAAAUUUGGAGUGACCCAAAUCAACAUGACAAUCUUUGUGAAAGGAAAACUGCAGCAAAAUGUGUGGCCAUAAUGACUUCUUUACUUUCCAAUUCCCAUUUUGAAGCAUAACAGCCCUAGCAAUAUCCCUUUAAUCAAUAGACAUCAAAAUAACAACAUUCAUGUACUUUAGUGCUUGCAGUUUAAGAAAAAUACCAACAAUGAGUUCACACUUGGAAAGUAUAUAUAUACCAACCAUGGAUGGAUCAACAAGAUAUGUACAGAUACACAUACCAAAGUAGAUUUUUGCCAUAAAAUCAAUGCCUUGAGAUAGGCACCAAACCAGAAAACAUAUGCUCAUCUAUUAACUCUACCAUUAUGACUACCAUUUCACAUUUGACAAAGUAGUUCAGACAGAAGGGGAAAAGGAGUAAAAGAUUAUUACCAAGGGUCAAGCAUUCGAGAGGUUUCUGAAAGAACUGUCCAAAUAGGUAGAUCGGCUCUUCAAGUGACUUUAGUUCCAAGGAGUUCAACGAAUUGAAGAUCUAACCAUUAUAUACAACUUUUAAAGGUAAGUCAUGGGUCACAAGAAAAGAUCAAACUGCUACAUGAAGUUGCAGUCCUGUGAUUCAGAGCAGACCUUCCAACAGUCACCAUAGAAUUGCUGGGUUCCUUCCUUUUCAUGUGGAAAUUUACUGGUAAGUUCUGCAAUGAAAUCACUGUAUUCUCUAUGUACUCGGACAGAAAGGUCAUUUGGUAGAUGGAAAUGAACAGUAGUAGGAUCAGGUAUGACCUGCAUCUCACAACCAACUGCUGCCAAUGCUUGAGUUAUCAAAUUUAAAUUGCCCUGUCCAGAUUUGAGGCAAGCACUGAUUUUGAAGGCAAAAGCAGAUAUAAAGAAAAGCAUUGACAAUGAAAAGAAAAGAUGUUGUUAACCUGAAAUUUCAACAUUCCAAAUACGUAACAAACGAAAGCAAUUCAACAGUAAGAAACAUACAUCUCCUUACAAUCGAAGUGAAAUAUGAUAUAGAAAAGCAGCCACAAUAUGCAGGCUUUAGGUGUCUUUCCAUGAGCUUUACUCACAUAACAUAAGUUUCCACAUACAAUAUAUUUUAACUCCUCUCCAUUUCUUGUUUCUUUUUGCUUCAAAAUAUCCAAUUGAUACCCCACAGUUGAAAGGUAUUUGACUCCAAAAAAAAAGAACAAAAAGGAAAAGCAUCUGACAUCAAAAUUCUUUUUCCCUAAGCUAGGCUUCAGCUAUUAGGUGGUGGGCUUAUAUUCCUGUCUUCUUUGUAUAGAAAGUUAAUCAAGAUAUAAGAUCCAUUCACCUGUAACUAUAUAUAUAUACUAAUGUGCAUGAUUUGAUUCACUGAUUAGAAAAAUGAGCAGAUUAGGAACUUUAGCUAUAAAAAGUUGGAAUGCACAAGUAAAUGAUAUGGAAAAAAAUUGACGAGUAGUAUCUAUAUAUACCAUACAGAAAUACUGAUUCACAGUCCUGUCUAAUCACUGGAUGGCACCUUCAACAGCCACUUUGUAAUAUCAGACCAUUCUUCUGUAUUGUCGUGUUCACUGAGAAUUGGAAAAACACCCCUGACAACCUUUAUGACAAUGAGAAAUAGGAGUCCUAGUUCAAAAUUUUGAUGUGCUUUCUUUUACAAACAUGAUCCGGCCUUGACAACCACUGCACUGAAGUGAUGAGGUGAAAGGUCUAAAACCUUUGUAUGACGGUACUAAAGAUCUAGUUUUAAAUGCUUAGACUCCCAAAAAAAGGCAGAUUAAGCUACUAAAAGUAGUCUACCCUCUUAGAGUUUUAGAGAGUUAUUUCAGAGCACUUUCUUCUCGAGGUGUGUAAGACUUGCAUAUCAUAAAAGGCAACUAACAUCAACGUAAUUAUACUUCAUACUUUUCUAUAUCUUAUCUGAUUAAAUUUUUGGAAUUAUCGAUCCAAAUCAACUAUUCAUUCAACUUAUCAUACUCCCAUUUCAAAAUUGGUCAAACCAUCAUAAUCUUUCUAAUACCAAAAGCAAACGGCAAUCAACACCUUUAACAAAUAUGAAAAAAUUAAUAGUUAAUGAACAACAAGAACUGACCUUAUCACUGAACCCAAACAUGACAGAAGACCCUACAUCAAAAGUGUACCCAUCUCUCUCAUAAUACCCAGAGCUCCCACCUGGAAUCACAUAUUUCUCCAAUACCAAAACCCUAGCUCCCUUAACUGCAAGUUGUGUAGCUGCAACCAACCCUCCAAUCCCUGACCCAAUAACAAUUGCAUCAUAGUAAUCUUCCCUACCAGACCCUUCACUUUUCUCUGUCUCUGCACUCAAGACGGAACCUGACCUCAUAACAUAUUCCGAAUACCCUAAUUUGACAUUCACACCACCGAGCUUAUAACCAUCCGAAACUGAGGUUUUCAGUGGAUCACAAAAACGAAAACUCCUUUCCACAUUUCUGGGUACGAAAUUUCUCGGCUGUUUCUGACUGUAGCCCCCCAAAUUCAACCGGUGAUCAUCGAAAACAAAAGGUUUAACAUGUUCAAUAGAGUGAGUUCUGAGUUUUUGACUUCCACGUAUUGAAUUGCCCAACUGACUACCACCGCAACCAAAUAACUGAGAACUGUCAAACCCUACUGCCAUUCCACUGAGCUGAGCAGACAGAAAUCUUCCUUUUUCAUUCCAGGGUAUUCGAUAACUGAGCUGGGUGGUUAUUGGGGUAUUCCCGACUUUUGCCGGGAGAAAAGAUAAACCCAAUUCCACCAUGGAAAGUGAGAACCACCACUGUCAAUUUUUGCUAUCGAGGAUAGAAACAAGGUUGCUAAUUUGGUUUUGAACGCGGAAUUGCUAUUGUCUAAGUGAGUGUAUAAUGAUUCCAAGCCAUGAUUCUAGCUUCAGAAGGUGAAACAAGACAAAAUGUGGCAAUAUGUUAUUUUACUAUUUCCUUCCAAAGCCAUUUUUCAUUUGGGAUAAAUUUCAACCAGUUGGCCGUUGGUUUUGGUGGAGGGAGUUCGAGAGAGAAAGUAUUGCGUUACCUUGCGGUGAUGGAUAGAUCUCACGGCCGAAUCUUAUUAGUGGGCCUUGUAAGACACGGCCCACUAAUAAGAAUAUUAUCCUUGUUUUUGGUUAAUUUAUUUACUAAUUUUUCUUUGGGUAAACAUGAGACAAAUUAACUAUUUAUUAAUCAAAAAAAUUUCCCUUGUAACAAAAACAUUCAAAAUUUCCCUACCAUUAAAUAUAAUAAUAAUAUAUUUGAAAUUUUUUUAUAUUUAAUUUUUUAUAAAUUAAAUAACCAAAAUACGUAUUUAUUUUAUUGGGUACUAUAAAUAAAAUAUUCAAAAUAAAUAAAAUUAUUAAAAACAAUCUAAACCCUCUAUCUUUUCGUAUUUUUACCAAACUAUAAAAUAAAAUAUGACUCGUAUGAUUAAAUUUUAUUAAAUUAAUCUAUUUAUUUUAAUUAUUUUGUUCAUUUUUAUUGAAAUUAUAUCAUACAAACAUUAAAAAUUAAUUGAAAAUUUUAUUUGAAAAUUUAAAUUAUUGAAGCUCUAGCUUAAGUGUCUCCCAUUCAAUGAUUAUAUUACAACUAUUCUACAUGGUCAUUUGUAAUUCAUAAUUUUUUAUUUUUUUAGAAAAAAUUAUUUUUACCAUAAUUUAGUAAUGAUUCCAUUGGGAAUAUUAAUGGAGUAGGGAAUAUCCUAUCUUUUAUACGUACUAAAAUUUUAUUUUUUAUUUAUUAAAUUUUUUUGUCUAUAAUUUUAUAAAAAAAUAGAAUAAUUUUUUUUAAAUAAUUUUUAUUUUCUAAAUAUAAAUUAAAUUAAGCUAUAAACAAAACUAAUUUUCUCAAUAUAACUCAAUAAGAUUAUUUUUAAAAAAUAAAUAUACGAAAUGUUUAAUAUAAUACAGAUAAUAAUAUAUAAAAAUAUUUUUUAAAAAACUAUUUUAUUUAUAUAAACAAAAUAAUUAGACAGAAGAUAAGAUGACGACCAUUUUUUCAUAUUUAUUGUAUGUUUAAUCAAAUCGUAAAAUUAUUGACCUUAUAAUUUAAAGUUAAAUUAAAUAUUGAUUUUAUUAUUACAAAAAAAUUUGUUGGAUCUAUGUGCAAUUAUAGAUGAAAUUAUCAUUCCAUAUAUGAUUAAUUUCUAUAAUCAAGAUUUAUUUGAAGAAUACACAUUACUAUGCGAAAAUUUCAAAUAGAACUUUAUGGUUUACUCACAACAAUAUUUUUUCAAAGUGUAAUUAAUAAUAAAUUAAUCAUUAAAUUAUGGAUUUCAUUAUUAAAAUCAUAAUUAUCGUUGAAUAAUUCAAUUCUAGAUAUGCCAAAAUUAACCAAUAGAAAUUCUUAGAUUGCAUUUUAACAAACUUAAAAUUUGUAUAAAUUUUAUUUACAAAUCAAUAUUUAGUUUAAUGUAAAUUUCUAUAUGAAAUAAUAAAAUGCAAUGAUAUAAAAAAUCAUAAUUUUAUCAAUUUAAAAUUCUUUUUUUUUUUAAAUUAAGAGAUAAUUUAUUACAUCAUUGUUGUACUAAUAAACAAAUUUUACUAUAUUUUCAAAUUUAUUUAAGUAUAUUAUUGAUAAAUUACUCCAUAUUUAGGUUUAAUUCAAAUUCAAAUUUAAAUUCAAUAAAAUUAGAAUGAGAAACAAAAUAAUUUGAAUGUCAAUAAAUUUAUUCCCCGAAUAAUUUUAUUUUGGCGACGAACAUCCAAAAGAAUAUGCCGGAUUUCUUUUUUCCGUCACUAAAAAUUAUUCCGUCCGUCUCCACUACUUUAGUUCCUCCCGUCAAUCAAACGGACCGGACUAUCUCAACAUUCUCAGAUGCCGGGCUCCACGUCUCCGCUUAAGUGGGUCCCACUUAAAUACGUGGACCAAUAAUAUUUCGACAACUCAGGAGUGUGCACUACUCCAGUUUCAGUCUUUUUGUGCUCCAAUGGCUAUUAUACGCCUUCUCCUUCUCUCUCCCGCUGAUGCCCUUUUCAUUUCACAAAAGAAGCGCCAACGAAUUUGGAUCCAAUUGCUUUAUGAAUUUACUAAAUUUUAAAUAAGUAUUUUUGUUUUUCUAUUUAAUUUUUAAAUAUUAUCGGAUCGAAUAUCUUCAUCUUCUUCAUAAAUUCUGAAGCACAAAAAAUAUUGAACGGCCACGAGUUGCCUUUUCCAUUAUCCUGUCGCUGUUUAGUUCGGUAUUUCCACUUUUCUUUUUGUUAUAAUCUUGCGUUGGUUUCACUUUAAUCGUAAUCACUGUAAUUCAUUUUGGUUGCUCUACUUCCCCAACUUGAUUAAGGUUUUCUCACAUUUGGUGAUUCUUCUUCUUCUUAUUCCUUUUUUUCUUCGGAAUUUCAGGUCUGAUUUCAUAGAGGCCAAGUAUUUUGAGUUAUUCAGGUAAUAUAUUAAACUUUCUUUUUCUUUCAAAUCGACUUUGGUUGUUAUUAUUUUCAUACUCGUUUUACCUGUUUAGUUGUCGAGAAAAUGUCGGAAAUGGAAGCCAGGAUUGACACUAUUUUAGGGGUGUGGGGUCGGGGUGGUGAAAUUGACUCUUGUUUGUUUGAAUUUUGGAAAAUUUUCUGUUUGAUCGUCUGUCAAGCUAUCGAACUUCUUCCCUCAACUGGGCUUUUUUGUUUAUUUUGUAAUUUUGAGAUUCCGGGAUGAUUGAUCAAUUAACCUUUGCAUUGUUGUUUUGUUGGACGUUAGAGAAUUUGGUUUUGUCUUGGAAUACCAGAAUAACUUAGUUAUGUGCUUAGCUUGGAAAAGUUAGUGUGAAGUCUGAACCAUCUGAUCUCAAGGGUGAUUAAAACAAACCCACAACCAAGUCUUUCUCAUACAUCUUUUACUAAUUAAUACUGGGGAUCUUUUCCAUUUACUAAUCACCUAUCUUACUUUGUUUAAGAUAAUAUCAUCUGAAAUAGGUAUCCCUAUUCUUUGUGUUAAUCAUUCCUAUAAUUAUUCAUAUUUGCAAUAUAAAGGAUUCGCGUGGUGAUAGAGUGAUCNNNNNNNNNNNNNNNNNNNNNNNNNNNNNNNNNNNNNNNNNNNNNNNNNNNNNNNNNNNNNNNNNNNNNNNNNNNNNNNNNNNNNNNNNNNNNNNNNNNNNNNNNNNNNNNNNNNNNNNNNNNNNNNNNNNNNNNNNNNNNNNNNNNNNNNNNNNNNNNNNNNNNNNNNNNNNNNNNNNNNNNNNNNNNNNNNNNNNNNNNNNNNNNNNNNNNNNNNNNNNNNNNNNNNNNNNNNNNNNNNNNNNNNNNNNNNNNNNNNNNNNNNNNNNNNNNNNNNNNNNNNNNNNNNNNNNNNNNNNNNNNNNNNNNNNNNNNNNNNNNNNNNNNNNNNNNNNNNNNNNNNNNNNNNNNNNNNNNNNNNNNNNNNNNNNNNNNNNNNNNNNNNNNNNNNNNNNNNNNNNNNNNNNNNNNNNNNNNNNNNNNNNNNNNNNNNNNNNNNNNNNNNNNNNNNNNNNNNNNNNNNNNNNNNNNNNNNNNNNNNNNNNNNNNNNNNNNNNNNNNNNNNNNNNNNNNNNNNNNNNNNNNNNNNNNNNNNNNNNNNNNNNNNNNNNNNNNNNNNNNNNNNNNNNNNNNNNNNNNUAAAGGUAACCCAAAAAUAUUCCAUGCAACAGAGAGGUGUGCCUCCGGAAUCAUACAAGCUAUUGGCCAUUUCAAGCUAGGUCCUAACCUUUCUCCAAGAGAUGUUCCUAACUUUAUGAAGUCCAAGCUAGAGAAUGUUAAUCCGGGUCAUGAGGUGGUGAAAUUUUACUUAUUUUAUGAGAGGUGGAGGCGAGGAGAAGUUGAGAAUUGUGAGACAUUUUUGGCAAGUCUGAAGGCUUCUUGUGUAUGUCAAAUAUCCUCUUCUCCUUUUUAUAUUGUGGUUUUAGCAACUUUUUCCAUACUACUCUUCUGGGGGAACAUCUCCAUUCAUUCCACCUGCUUAGUUAGCAAAUAGGUAGAUCUAUGACUUGAUCUAUCGGCCAAUUUUGUAGUCACUUGAUGAGGAUUCUUUUUUUACUCAAGCUUUUCGUAGUAUUGGAAAGAAAAAUUUUCAGAUACAGAGCUGAUGUUAUUUGAAUUUGCGAUGACUCGAUGCUCACUUAUCUACAUCAGUAAAUAGCUUUCAAAAGCAAGUGGAUUAAGAGUUGCAUCUCUUUUGUCCCAGUUUACCCUAUAUCUUCUGAUUUUUUGCUAAUAAUCCAAAAAUCAACCUUUGGUAUCUCUCCCCAACCCUUUCUUAGAGCCAAUGCCCUUGGCAAAUUUAUUUGAUAGCUGAAGCACUAUUUGAUCAACUUGUAACAGUAAUUUCUCUGAUUUUUUUCUUAAAUUCCGAAUUUAGUGCUUCAAGUGAGAGGAUUAUGUUUGUAACACCCCGUUUUUUUUUUCUUAACGGUGUACGAUAAAGCACCCAUACAACACAAUACCGAAAUCCAUAUUAUUCCAACCAUGCACAAGAGAAAUUUAUCCACCUUCCAUGUUCCAAAUCAAUUGUACAUACAUCUCCACCUCUACAACACAUAGUAAUACAAUACCAAACAUUCCUAGAUAUUCAAUAUCCAGACUAAACCAUCCUUUCAAACUACUUUAAAUCACAAACAAAACUUGUGCCCUAUGGCACUACCGACGGGGCUCCGUUACCAGCCGCUCGGAUCCCAAUUCCGUCCUUACUCCACCUGUGAAUGAUGAGAAGUGAGUUCACAUAACUCAAUACGAUAAAAAUCAAGUUGUAAGUGUAAUAUGCAGUGACAAGAAUUUCCAGAAAUGUCUAUAUGCAUUUAUCCUACCCAACCCCAAACAACUCAUAACCCUCUCCCUACACUAAUUAUCAAGGUCCCAUUCCAAGGCAAUAGCACGGCCAAACAACCCCACCCACCCAACAAUCAUCCACUAACUCUCGUCACCAACAUCGGCGACUCAUACACUCUUCCCCCAUCUCCCGACCUCACGAGGCCACACACACACACACCCAACCACCUUCAUUCCACGUCACCAAUAUCGGCGACUCACACCUAUAUCUCCACCUCUCGACCUAAUAGGCCACGCACACACCCACACACCAUUAUUCCGCGUCACCAACAUCGGCGACUCACACUCACUCCUCCACCUCUCGACCUAAAGAGGCCACACACACACACAAAUACCAUCGUCUCGCGUCACCAACAUCGGCGACUCAUACUCACUCCACCUCUCGACCUAAAGAGGCCACACACACACACAAAUACCAUCCUCUCGCGUCACCAACAUCGGCGACUCAUACUCACUCCUCCAUCUCUCGACCUCGUUGGGCCACGCACACACACAAACAUUUCCACCUCCCGUCACCACCAUCCGUGACUCAUGCACCCUUCUACCCCUCUCGGCCUUGCUAGGCCACACUCACAUACAUAUCCCCUCCCUGCUCCACCAACAUCGGCAACUCAACCCGCCCCUACCAACGGCCUCCAAAUCUCCCCUCCCAAACCGCAUGCUCCCAUCUCCCCUUAUACCAUGCUAGUCCCAAACAUUCUAACUUGCUAACUCCUACUGACCACAUUACUCCUCUUCUCCCAUCCAAUCCCCCUCAAAUCCUGCUUCCUAGUCCCCUCUGCCGUACCUUCCAGCUCCCUUCCCUCUCCCACUGCCCCCUACCCGCUACCUCCCCCAUCCUCCUGCCUCCUCCCGGUUCCUAUACACUUUUGCCUACCUAGGGCGAUUAACCUCUCAGCUUGCACCGUUUCACGCCACAUACACGCCCUCACCACCGUGCAUUUCGGGGAAACACAUCACCGCCUAUUAGCGGCUCCCUCCACAUCCCCACCCACGCACACACCACACACACACCUCUUCUGUCCUCUUCGAGUUUUUAUCCCACCCGCGCCCCCUAGAUUGUUCUCUCACAUCCUCCUCACUCUGUUCUACCCGUACCACCCCCAUCCUUCCCCACGGCUCCCCACACGCCUCCCACACCGCCAUACUUUCCCUUCCUUCCCCGAUCACCUCCGUGAGCGCACGGGACAACCCCACGCUUACGGCCUGCCUUCACUGCUCCACUCCGCCGCGCCAUUGCCGACGCCGCAACCUGCAACCAAAUUUCUCUACACACACACACCACACCAAACAACUCAAAUUUUCACCGUACCUCCCGUUUCCAUCUUCCUUCUUCCUGCCGGUCGCGUCGUCCGUCCACGGCCUCCUUCCCUCUCCCUUCUCGCUCCCCUCCGCCCCGACUCUCUCCUCUCUCCUUCUGGAACUUUCCUCUUCUUCUUCGUCUCCGCUGUCCUCCUUCCCUCCUUUUCUCUUUUUCUCUUUUUCCUUUUCUUUCUUUUUUUUUUUUUCUUUUCUCCUUUUUUCCUUCUCCCUUUCCCGACCUCCUUUUAUACUCUGCCAGCCUACCCCAAAACGACGUCGUUUUUCUUUCUUUCAAAACGACGUCGUUUUUCCCCUCUCUAAAACGACGUCGUUUUUAUUAUUAUUACUUUUUUUUUUUUUUUUCCUUCUAUUCUUUCUACUUUCUAGUCCUUACAAUGUUAUUUCUUUUUUCUUUUCCAUCUUACUAAAAAUCUGCGGUAUUAAAUCAAUUCAUGUUCUCCUGGCUAAUUAGAUUGUUUCUUUGUGCUUAUGAUUUUUAGGAUCCUUCUGGUGUUCUCAUCCAUCCUUCUGGUGUUGAGAAAUCCCUUCAUGACUGCAUAAAUGAAAUAAGAAAAUGCUACGGAGAUAAACAGGGUAAACAAUUUCGGGUUUGGGUAGAUCAGGUGCUGCCAACAGAGAUCAGUCCUGGCACAUUGGUUGUAAAGUUUGAUAAAUGGGAGUUAUGCGGUGAGUCUUUUACUCUCAUACUUAUCCUUCGCAAGGGGACUGCAUUUUCUUCAUCUAUAUAUAUAUAUAUAUAUAUAUAUGAAAUUUACUACAUUUUGUCUAGUCAAUUUUAUAAAAUCCGGAUGGAUUCAAUCUCAUCAAGAAUUUGAAUUACAUGGCACAAGAAAGCAGCAAAUACAAUCAUAUUAUAUUAGUAGCUUCCUCAUUUCUUCUAACACUUUUUAUCAUGAUGGCUACAAUGAGCAAGUUAUCUAUGUAAUAUUUUCUAAUGCUCACAUCUCGCUUUCUCUGUAGGGGAGGAGCGGAAAUGCUGCAAAAACACUUCUAAAUUCAGCUCAAUGGUAUAUGAUUAGACACUGAUGUCGUAUAUUAUUUUCUAAUUUUCUAUCUCUGAAGAUGUGAUAAUCAAUAUUCGGGUUUCAGGAAUCUGGAGCUCCAGACGAGUUUACAUGGCAGCAUGUGCACCAGACUUGGUCAGAAGAAUCAGGGGUAAAAGAUAAUUCAACUUGGAUCCUCUAAAUUGUGUCCUAAAAUUCUCAACUCCAAACUCCAUAAUUUUUGUAAAACAAUAAAGGAUAUCUCUGAUAACAUCCGCUAUAAAUAGGAAGAGGAGGGAGUCCCCUUGCUCUGUCAUGUUUGGUAGAGCAUAAUAAGUUUGAAACUGUCAUUAAUCCGAUCAGUUUUUCCCGCAGAUAGGUUAGCAGCAUCUUACUUUCGAAAGUUAUGUCGAUUGAAUCCUCUUGCAUUAGGUACGCUGUUCACUGUUAUGGUAUGCAGGUUUCGAGACUUCGAAUUUCUUUUAUUCAAUUACCAAUGGUAUGGGAGAUAGGGAGUUGGUAAAUAUGAUAAAAUCUAAUCGAAAUUUUAUAUUUUUGUUUUAACUCGAUAUUGUGCAUUUGGUACUAGUAGUAUAAAGUUUUUUUUUUUUUCGGAUAAUACAAUCUCGUAACAAAUAUAUACAUAUGCAUAAGGCAUAGGUCGGGAUUUGAGAAACAGAGCAAUUGAUGUUUUCAAGCAUGAUGGCACAGCAGCAUUUUUUAUCUUUUCAAACAUUUAUGUCAUGGAAAGUUUGGGCUGCUGGACUAAAAUUAUUAAAGCACAAAAGCAUAUGAUAGUAUGAACAUUUAAAUCUUUUCAAACAUUUAUGUUAUGGAAAAGCAUGUUUAUUUCAUAAGCAAUUUGACCCAUGCAAUUUACUUUGAAACUCAUUUUCAAGACUAAGAAGGAAGUAUAUAUAUAUAUAUAUAUAUAUUUGUCAAAUAAGAUAAACCCUUAUCUCAACUUUCUCAAUAGAUACAGUUCAUACUCACAUGUACACUAUAAUAUAUAUAUAUAUAUAUUUAUUUAUUGAUAACAUCAUGUGCAUUAUAUUUUUUUUAUGUAAGACCAUGUGCCUUCUUCACAUGCAUUAUAUUAAUGGUUUAAAUUUGUACUGGUUUUAUCAUUAUUAUUCACAGAAAUAUUGAAUUUUAUUAUUAUUAUUAUUUAUGGAAUGAAUUAAUCUCGAAUUAAUAAAUUUUUAAUUUAUAAUGAAAUGUUUUAUUACUGGGCUAUGAACGAUUUUUCGACGAUAAAUUUAUUAUUAUCAAUUUAUUUAUGUAAGACCGAUAAAAAAUAUUAAAUUUAAUUGUGUAUUGUAAAUAUUUAAAUUAAAUGUAAAAUAUUUAAAAAAUAUGGUAUGAAUUUAGAAAUUAAAACUCUUUUCGGCAUUUUUUUGAAAUUUUUAUUUACACAUAAAUACAAUAUUUACGUAUAUCUCAAAUGUAAGUGCAAUUUUUUAUUUACAUUUCAAGUACAAUAUAUUUUAAAAGUUAAUUUUGGAUGUAACCAAACAUGGUCUUAGCAUUCCCAAAUCUCCGUUCUAGUUAUACCUAUGGCCGCCCUUAGCCCACAAAAACAAUAAUAACGGAAAACGUUGCUUGCACGCUCAAAUCGUACCCUACCCCGUUCGCUCUUCCCACGUGGCAAACUCUUCUAUCAUAAACUCGACACGUGUGGAUAAUCCAUAAAUUAACACUCAUGAAAGUUUGGAGUCUUAUUUAUUUAUUUAUCAUUUAAAAAUUCAAAAUUCCAAAUCCAAAUCUCACGCACUCUCCGCUCGCUAUUUCUGUCUCUCUCUCUCUCUCGAACAAGAUCUCCAUUGCCGGAGAAUUGAAGAAGAAAAGGAAAUAGAUCUGAUCUGAAAUGGGUCUAAGGAUCGUCUACGGCGUCGUAUUUCUUUCCUUCUCGUGCUGCUGCUUCAAGCUCCUCCAUCUUGCUCUUCAUCCCAUCUUCUACUUCACCUCCUGAAAAUGAAGAAGCCAAAAUGGUUCAUCUCUUCUCUUCUCUCUCUUUCUGUAAUUCCUUUUUUUUUUUUUUUUAACUUCUAUAGAUCUUCGAUUAUGAUGGCAUAGUGUAUCGAAUCUGUUAUAUAGAUAUAUAUAUGUACUGUUUGGUUGUAAUUUGAAACCUCAGUACUUCGUUCUAUAAAAUAUUAUACUACUAUUUUAUUAAGUCCGAUUUCUUGCUCUGAAGUUGCGUGAUUAGAUCGUGCGAAUUUCAACUAUAUAUUAUAUUAUUAUAUUGCUGAUGAUUAGACCUAGUGAGAUCAGGAUUCAGGACUGUUUUCGUAUUGUUGCUGUAAUUACAGAAUGAACCCUAGACUACGUGAAGUAUCCCUAAAAUUAGUUUGUCUUAUUUUAUUCUCAUUUGUGCAUUAAUUAUUUACAAUUCUAUAGAAAACAAAAAUGACUAUUUCAGAUUUUAAUACAAAAAUAGUUCCUGUACUUGCUUGCGGAUUACAAAUUCACGCUUCAUCAAUAGAAAACCAAUUACUUUCAUUUAUUAUGCACUAACUAUAAUAUUUUAUUUAAUUGGGAUCAAAGCAUAAUUCAUUAAUGUAAUAGUAAAAUUUUGAUAACGAAUUUGAAUUUUUUUCAAACGAGUCAUGAGGUUCUUUUUUAAAAUACACACACACACACACACACACACUACAUAGUCAUGUAAUAUUCCAUUUCUUCCAGUUUCGUUUUUAGACUAAGCUUAUUUAUGAUCUAUAUAUAUAAACACAAUUCAAUUCUCAACAUCACUCAAUUAAUCAAAUCCUAAAUAUUUGAUUAUGAAAUCUUCACUAUUCUUUUUGCUAAAUGUUUCUAGUUACCCUGGAGAAAUUUCCCAGAUUUGUUUUAUGCUCGAAUGCUCUUUGAUUUUCUUUUGAGACCUUGUCUCAGUUUUCUUUUCCCACUAAUUUCUUGAAAAUAUUCUUGUAAUAACUUAUAAAUUACCAACACUAUUAAGCUCUACAUCAAUUCACAAAUAUACUAAUUUGAAUGUUUUUAAUUCUUUAGCACCACAUACAAUAAUCUUGUGAAUUUAUUAUUAUUUUUAAAUAAUAUAUAUAUAUAUAUUUAUUAAUUAAAUUAUACAUAUAUUUUUUAAUUAAAUGAUAAAUUCUUGUUAGUUGGUACAUACAACAUCAAUUCAACUAUAAAAUUAGUUGUUCACAAUAACUAAUUCAAUUAACCAACAACACAAUUUUUUGCGGUUAAAACUUUUUUAUUCCAUAAAUUUGAGUUUUAAUAAAAAUGUAGAGUUCGUCAUUUUAUAAUACUCUGAUUCAUUAAAACUGAUGGUUUAAUUUAUUAAUUUUUUAAUAAAAUUAUGUCAGGAUGUACGAAUUUAUUAUAUUUUUAAAUAAAAAAAUAUUUUAUAAUUAUUAAAUUUUUUUAAUUAAAAUAUAUAUUUUUCGUAACUUAGUUUUGUUUCUCUGUGUCAAAAUCAUUCUCAGUCACUCUUCUCUUUGGGGAAUUCCAAAGGACCUUAAAUCUCUCCCACAAAAUAAUAAAAUACUUUCCACGUUUUAUGUAGUGAUAGUGAAUGGAUAUACAAAUAAUAUAUGUUUCCCGUUAAUUUAAUAAUUUAAAUUUGUGAAAAUAAAAGGCAUGAUAAAUAAUUGUAGAAAUAAUAAUUAUUAAAAAAAAUAAAAACUUAAAUUUUUAAUUAAAAAAUAAAAUUAUUUCUAAAAUAUAUUUACAUGGUAAUUUUUAAGAUUAAAUAUAUUAAAAUUUUCAUUGAUUUUUAAAUUUUUUAUUUUUAUUUUUUUAAACCGACGACGUAGGGAAACCGUUGUGGAAGUUACGAGGAAAGGGAGAGAGAGGCUAAAAUCGUCAAAUUAACGAAACUUAACUACCGCUUGGUUCUCUUCAGUUGUUCUUAAAAGCGCCGUAGCAGUUCAUCUCACGUCCGUUUAACGGAACGUUUCGUUACAUCUUCGAAUUGACCGUUUUAUCCUCUCCGUUUUCCAACCAUCAUUAAAACUUCAACUUACCUCGAAAGUCGACUUUUUUUUUUUUGUAAUAAAAAAUAUAUUUGAUUAUUUAAAUUUGGUAUAUGUAUAUUUUAAAAAUACGAAUUGUUUAUAAAUAAAAAUAUAAAUUAUUUUAUUGUGCUAUUAGUCUUAUUUUUUAAUUAAAAAUUUUCAAGAUCCAAUAAUAUCGAGGUCAAAUUAUACAGUCUCGUCUUAUUAUUAUUAUUAUUGUUAAAAACGAUCCUCCUUAAUUAAUUAAUGUUAACAUAUCAAAUUAAAAAAAUUAUAUUAUCUAUAAAUGACAAAUUUAUGUCAAACCCAUGAGUUUUGAAUGGGUUUUUUUAAUAUAUGUAAAUUAUUAAUGGUUUUUUUUUAAUUAUAAAUAAUUAAUUUUUUCAUAAAUAAUUAAUUUUUUCAUAAAAUCCAUAAUAAAAUAUUUUUUAAUAUUUUUAAAUUAUAAAAAAAUGAAAUCAUUUUAAAAUUAAACAAACUCACUGGCCAUACAUGAAUUAUUAGUGAUGACAUAUAAGAUUUUGUCAUAUUAUUUUUUUUAAUUUAUUUUCUGUUCCAUAAAAACAGAAAAAGUCCAAUUAAUUAAUAAUUAAUGUCAUUUUUCAUAGUCUUUAAUAAGAACACGAAAUCCCUUAUUUAUCAAUAUAUACAAUGUAUGUUAAUUAGACCAAUUAAGUUGUCUAAGAAAGUUUAAUCAAUCAUUUAUUAAAAAAAAACAUAAAAUUCAAUUAAUUACUAAAAGAAAAUUAAAUUAAACAAAAAAAGAUUUCUUAUAAUUUUAUGAAUCCUCCCAUUACAAUGUAUACUUUACUUAAUUAUAUUUUUAAAACAUUUAAAAUUAAAAAUUAAGUAAAAAAAUAUUUAAAUUUAUAAAAUUAUCAAUUCGAGUUUGAAUCACUUUAAUGAAUCUACAAAGAUUGAUUAAUUAUAAAUUUUUUGAAAAUGUAUAUAUAUUAAAAUUUAAUUUUUUUUAAAAAAAAAAAUAGGAAAACAACAAAACAAUGCUAUCACUAAUAUUUCCUAAAUUGACAUAAUCAUUAAGAAAUUAAAAAAUAAUUAAUUAAAGUAAAACUUGGGUAAUUAGUAAUGAUUAUAAAAUAAUUUAUUGGGUAAUCAAAAAAGGUGAUGAUGAUGAUGACGACGACCAUAAAAUAGAAUCUGCAAUGAAAUCCAACCAUUUAAUUUUCAGGAUACAUGCAUGCAUGUAAUGAAAAACUAAAUUUGUUAAACUGAAAAACUAUUAUAGUAAAUUACAAAACUUCCCAUUUUAAGAUAUAUUUUUAAAUUAUCUAUUUUUGAAUUUUUAUUUUAUGGGUCUCUCUAAAAAUUACAAUUUCUCAAAUAAAAUAUGUAUAUAUAUACAUAUAGGUAUAUACUUGGGGGAUCGUGAUGUGUCGUUUGAUAAUCCAAGUAAGUCAAAGAAGUGGCUAUAUAAAAAUCAAUGGUGAUAGUAUAAAUAAGGUGGAAGGUCCUAAUUUUAAUUCAAUGUUUGUAGAAACCGUCCAUUUCUAAUUGCCUUCUUUCCCAUAUUACCUAAUCUUCUCUUUCAGUUGUUAUUCUCUUCUUCCUCUUCUCCAUAUAUCCAUCCAUAUAUACGUAUACUCUCUCCUUAUAUAUAAACCCUAAUUAAACCAUGUUCAAUCUCUUCUCUCCUCCUCCUCUUCUUCUUCUUCUUCUUCUUCUUCACUUAUCCGAUUCCCCCACGUUCUUGUCCAUACAUAUAUUUUUCUAGCCUCAGUUGAUGAUCAUCCCAAUCACUAUCUACAUAGAUAUAUUUGCAGAAAGGAUCAGAAAGAUUUUUGUAGAGAUAAUCAUGGAGAACUCAAUGGGAUUCAUGGCGGUUUUUGCAGUUUCAGGAGGUGUAGUUUUGCUUGCAAGACAAGCCCACAGACGUCUUCUCUCUGAGUUCAUGAAGAAGAUUGAAUUCGAAUUGGGUGGUAAUUGUUAUUAUUUUUUCUCUUUUCCUUUACAUUUCUUCUAAUUAUUAAUCAAUCAAAAAAGAAAAAUCUCCCUUUAAUUUUUUUAAUUUUUUAUACCAAAUGCAAUUUUAUUUAUUAUAUUUUUUUUCUUACAACUUUUUAGGAUCUAACAAGUCUUGUCACCAAAAUCAAGUCAAGAAAAAGGUUAGGUUUGCGGACGACGUGAUCGAUCCGUCGUCCAACAAUAAAAAGUAUCGUAAAAAAUAUUUGACAAAGUCCGUAAACGGUAACAACAACAACAACAACAACAUGAACAACGGUGACAAAUGGAAAUGUAUGGAUUCAAUGCCAGUCAACAGGCAAAUUUUGUACAAAGGGAUCAUGGAGUACAAGAUUCUCAAAGGUCUCGCUUGAGAAAACUAUUAUUCUGAUUGUAAAAUAUUUUAAAUUUUUGGGUUAAAUUGGAAUUUUGGAGAGUGUUUGUAUAAUAAUUAGCUCUCAGUCAAUACUGUAUUUGCUUUUUGGGAUUUUAGUUUCAUUUCUUCUGUGUAAGUAAAUAAAUAAAUGAAGAAAUCUGAUCUUGUUUAUGGGUUUGGUGUAAAUUUUGAUUAUUUUUAUUUUUAGUGUUAAGUUUGACUUUUAUUAUGAUUAUUAUUAAGACUUCAUUAGUAAUUAAUUGUUAUCAUUAUAUGAUUAUUAAUGUAUAAUACUAAUCUAUUGGCCAUUCACACUGUAAUUAAUGACCGCAUGAACUGUCUACGAAUCAAGACAAGAUAAUUAAGGUGGUCAAUCUUCAAAUAAGCCAAACAAGAAUCUGAUUUUCCAUUUUAAAACAAGUUGUGGUGUUGGUAGAACCGCAGAAUACAGCUGGUAUAUAGCAUAUAUACAUAUAUAUAUGUAUGUGUACGUAUGUAUACAUUAUGAGCUGACAAUUUUGGGAGGAAAAAUAAAUAGAUAUGCCAAAGUGGGAGAAGGAAAUAAAAAUUAGUAGUAAAUAAAGAAAGUGGGUAAAGAUAAUCUUCAAAUUGUUUAGACCGCAUGGAAUUAUUCUCAAACAAAUCAUUAAUAAUACUUGAUAAUUAAGAAAAUAAUAAUAAUAAUAAUAAUAAAGUUUAAAAUUUUAAAAUGUGAUAUUCUAAUUUAUAUAAAAAUUUUAAUUUUUUUUUUUUAAAAAAAAAAAUUUAUGGUUGGAAUAUAAUUUAUAAAUAAACAAAAAGAUUUUGAAUUUGUUCUAAAUUUAGAAUCGGAAUUGUUAGCAGCUGGAAGAAAAUACCUACCGAUCAAAUAGUAGCUGGCAUGUCGUGGAGGACUAAUUGGUUGAACAGAUAUAAAUUAUUUUUUUCAGAGAUGUUGAUUUACUUGUUCGUAAUUUUUUUUAAAGAGAUUCUUUAGAAAUAAAACCAUUUUUUUCUUUUUUUUUUGGAGAUUAAUCAACAUCGCAAGUUGAAGUUUUUAAAGGAUUUAAUUGUUUUUAUUUUGUAAAUAUAUAUUAUCUUGAUUGUUUCUAAUCUCUCGCAAUUUAUUUUCUCAAGAACUCACAUCUGCGGAAAGAUUGGUACUUGGACGUCGGCUCUUUGCCUUUUAAAAGGGUAGUAUGUUACUUAUUUACUUAUUAAAAUGAGACAAAAACUAAAUUCAGAAUAUCGUGAAACAAUUCGAUUCGGGCAUUAGAAUGUUUGAAAAACCCUUUUCUGAUACAGACAGGACUGGAAGAGACGCACCUCUGGCGUACCAAUUGUCGAUUAUACUAAAAGAACUGAAAUAUUUCAUAGGACUGCUUGAAAAGUGGCAAAAAAAUAUUAAAUUAAAAUUAGGCUGUUCUUAUUGGGUUGUCAAUGUUUUAGGCCCAUAAUCUGGCUACAUGCCCUGCUUUUGUUAGUUUUUCACUCGUAGAAUUAAACAACACUCACCAGGGCCAAAUUAAGAAUUGAAAUUAUAAAGUAAUUAGAAAUGAAAAAGGGAAACCAACCCAAACAGAACAUUAAUUAAGAUAUAAACAUAUAAUAAGAAACUCCAAAUCUGUCAUCAGGUUUUAGUUACAAUUACUCGAGCUCAAAUUUCAAAACUAUAGCGAGUUUGAUACACCAAGUCAAAAUUUUGGCUAAGAUCAAAAGCAAAUUUAUUUCAGAACCACAUGCAAACACUUACGUUAUAAACUGCGAAACUCAAAUUUUCAUCGUAAUACUACAAAAUAUGAAAGACUCUACUGGACUGACCCUACUUCACUCACUGUUGUAUAAACUCUUCUUUUUUCCUUUCAUAAUAAUACAACCCUAUCAUUUAAUUAUAUAAUGAACAUUUUGAACAAAGUACAAAGAAAUCAAAUCAACAAUAAAUUGUAAGAGCAAAAAAGAACGGGUUCUAGUCGCUUCAAGAAAAAGCUUCAUUCAUCUGCAGGCUUUUCUUCAGUCUGCAACGGCAAACUGUUCCGCUCCUCUUCAACCUCCUUUUCUUCAGAUGUGGGUGUAACCCCAUUUUCAACUGCAGAUAGGUCACCAUUUUCUGAUAUGGCACUUCCAUCUGCAUUACUAUCUGGUUUUGGCACCUCUUUCGAAAGCGAAACUGUCAACAAGCGGCCAAGCCCGUCAUAUAUACUCUUUGCGUCCGUGAUAAGAGCAACACCACCGGGGUAACAACGACCAAAGCAUGUGGCACAAUGCGGGAAAGCAAUCUACAACAAAGGGAAGUUUCCAGUGCACAGGCAAACUUUAAGUGACUUACUAAGAGAAACUCUAUGAAUAACAAUAUGCCCAGAACGAUAAGAACCUCACCUCUAUGAAUGCUCGGCAAAGAGAGAAGAAUAGCCCAGACUCGUUUUGUCUGAGCAUACGUGUUGCAUUGUACCUUAAUAGUGAGUCACUAACAGCCCGCAAUCCCUCUAUUAAUUCUUGCGCAAGUAUAUGCUUCAAACUUAAAGGGGCACAAGGACGCAGCUCGUUCAUUGCAGCAGAUACACCUACAUCACCUUGAGUGAGAUUGAAUGUUGUGAACUUAAUAGCAAAGAUACUUUUCUGAUUCAAGAAUCUCGUGAUUCUUCUCUGCUAGUCUUCAUGUAACUUCUUGAGGCAAUACUAGUUAGAAAAGGUGCCACAUGAAAUUGUAUGCUUGGUUUCCAAUUGUCAGUCCCAUCCAUCCUUGGGGCCAUGUAGAUGAUCUUUGAUUCCAAAAUGUCACAUUGCUCCAAAAAAAUUAGAUUUAUGGAAUGCUAUUUUAGCUUCUAAGUUUCUUAUCGAUAAAAAAUUAAGGUGUUUGGCUUCCAAAAAAAAAAAAAAAAAAAAAUUCAUACAACACUCUUAUCAACCUUAAUGGGAUGGAACUUCAAAUAACCCAACUAUUAUUUGGUUUACCAUUAUGCAAAUUACAAGAAGCAAAGUACAUGCCAUGAAAAGUAUUGGUGACCAGAAAAUUGUAGACCACACUCACCAUUAAUGAACACAGCGAGAGGUGGAUGCUCCAUUAGAUAGGAUGGGGGAGUCACGUCCUCCUUACUUUCUUCACCAACACUAGUUGCUGGAAAGCCAACAGCUGGUAGUGGAACCCAUCGAUGUGAAUCCAACACUAGCUGGGGGCAAAGACAUCAAGUAGAAAUCAUAACUUAUCAAGCAGUAGGCUGCUUGCCAGAAACUAAAACCUACAAUGUGUUAUUUAUAGUGUAAUCAAUUCAAGUUAACAGUAUAUCCGAAGGCAAUAUCAAGUUAGCAACCGUAAGUCACCAAUCAGUAGGCUGCCUGAUGGAAUAGAAAAACUUAAAGCAGAACGUGAAACAGCAGCAUAGAUAUUCCAAACUAACACUGCAGAUUUUCAAGCAUCAGAAGGAAACUGUCAGGAACUCUAGACAUCAACUCUGACUAGUCAAUGGUAUUCUGGGUUUAUGACUGAGAUAGGUGAGUAAAGAAGUUGACGAGAUGAUGAGAGAGAGAACAGAACUAGAUCGAGAGAGAGAAAAAGGGAGAGAAAGUGUACUGUGUUACUAAGCUGCCAGAAAUUAUCCUGAAACGUCUCCUACAACUUAUUUUUAGUUGACUUGGUACACUUAACAACUUGCUAACAGUUCCAACAGAUUUUAUUCAGCUACUAACUGACGCCAUUCAACCACCAUAACUGUAAUAGUUUCAACAGAUUCUGUUCAACUACUAACUGAUAUUGUUCUUCUUCCCACGUUGAUGAUAAACUUUAAGGAUUUAGUGACAAAAACUAACUUCAAAAUAUCAACUAUCAACCACUCACCUGAAAAUUUUCAACAGCUGUACUCAUGUUCUUUGAGAAUAAAUUGAGAACUGCCCUGUACAGUGAGAAAAUCAGUUUCUAAGAUCAAUUAAAAAUUGUACUACAAAAGAUAUUUUGUAUCAGAAGAGAAACAAAUAAAAGACAUUUGCUUACUCCUCAAAAAGUGGUGGAAGCAAUCCCCGGAAAUCAAGUCCAACCCAACCAAGCCCCAUAGCACAAUACUGCCAGAAAGAGAUACGAGGAACAUCAUCAUAAACUUCAAAAUUUUAUUACGAUCCAUCUUUCUCUCUGCAGUUUAAAUGACAAAAAGGACAGAGGCAAAAGUGUCUCAAACAAGAGGAAACACAAGAUUUGGAUUAUAGCGAGCAAGGAUAUCCCAAAAGUAAGAAGCAAAUAAUUAUUAUUGUCAAAAAAUUAUGAAUCACCACUGGAUAUGCUGAAUCAUGGACGUGCUAGUGUUUGGAGCUGCUUACAGAAAACACUUAAUCACUAGAUUCUUAAAAACAAUUUAAAGCACUCGUGCUGGUUUAAAAAAUAGGAAUUAUACAUUGGAUAAAAAUACUUGCAGUUAAAAAUAUGCAAUUACAUGUUUGGUAAACAAAAUAAAUGAGUAUAACUAGUUAUCUAAAUAUGUAAAAAAGAAUAAACACCUUACACUCAUUUAAAAAAAAAUCACAUGGGGGUUUCUUUUAUUUAUUUUCGCUAAGAGUGUGCUUAUAACUUGUAAUCAAUUCUUUAAUUUACCAAAAAGAUAAAUUAUGUGGGGUGCUUAUAAUAUAAAUAGCCUAUAAGCAAUCCUCAACAUUUCUAAAAUGAAAGAAAUGUGCCAGAACUGAAUGCAUUUAAAACUGUAGUUGUUACCAUGCACUGAUCCAGGAUAUUUGACAGAGAUCCUCCUUCAGUUAUCUUUGGGAGCAUGACUUUAAGAGUUUUCAGGUGUGAGGUAAUUUGAUGCAUAGCCCAACUGAAAAGAAGCCCACCAUCGUAAUUUUCGUACAUUUCCUGAUGAAUCAUCAGAAAAAUAUUGCUCGGUACUGGUUAACAACAUCAAACAGAUGCAUCCUAUGACAGUUUAUCAUCCCCUUUAAGUACUCAUAAGCAUUUUUCUGAUCCAGAUCCUCAAGAAUUCCAGUAAGCCAUGCCUCUCGACAUCUCAGAAACUAAAACACAAACGAGAUCUAUUAGACAAGAAGACAUGAAGAUCCAUAGAAAAGCAACUAAAUGCACAUUUAUAAAACAAAUCCUCUUCUAAAAGAAGAAAAAAAAAAAGCAGCAGAGAUUGAAAAGGCAUAAAAGGCACUUGAAUUCCACAAAACGUACCUGCAAACGCAUUUCGUACUCGCUAAAGACUCCUAUACGGCGUAAAUAUCCAAUAAUACGCAGACAUUCUGGUAACUGCACUACAAAUACACGUUCAUAAAAUGGAACUGAGGCUCCAAUUCAUACAACGAAAUAAGUUGGGUUGCACUUAUUGCAUUUGUAGUUAACAUAACUAUCAUAAUUGUUUAAUGAUAAAAGAACAAACAUAUUAGAUAACUAUGAUAAGAUACCUGUAUAUUGGAUCGAAGCUUCUGGAGAAGCUGAAAAAGAAGUGAUUGGGUUGUCUGUCUAACUUCGGCAGCAAGUGCUUGAAUAACAGGCAAUCUAGAAUAGCAUGAAGAAAGUGGAUUCAAAUAAGACUUGUGAAUUCAGUAGCCAGAACAAGAUGACAAAGAAUAUAACACAGAAUAACUCACUUGGGGUGCAUGGUUGAAAGCUUGCACACAAAUGCUUCCAAAUCAAGAGCCUCAUCAUAAUUUCCAUUCCUCACACAUCUGCAGGAAUAUGGAAAUUAAUAAUAAUCCUCAUGGCAGUCACUAGAAAAGUGAAAUCUCCAGUCAUCCCGCCCAUCCCAUUAAAAAAAAAAACCCAUAAAGCGACUGUAUUUAAAGUAUCCAUCCCAUCCAGCUAACAAAAUUUUCACUUUACAGUCAGUUGCAUGCUCAAUCUUUUUCACAUUAUUCCUUUUCCCCAAGUUUACAAAGAGGUGUAACUAAAAUAAGCACAAUAAAAUAGAAUUUCUAAAUUCAUUUGAUGAUGUACUUCAUACAAACAAAGUAGGAAGCCUGGCUGGCAGCUUUUAGAAAUUGAUUAGAGGCACUAAUGUUUAUCCUAAUGAAUCAAUAACUUUAAUAAUAUCAAGAUUUAUUAUACCACUAAGAUGCAUUCAACACUAAACCAGUUUAAGCUUAGAGUUAUCGUCCCAAAUGUGAUGGUAUGAAAAAGGUAAUAUGCGUAUACGGCAAACUCAAGUGAAUCCAUUGGCUUGCUGGCCAUUAGUUGAAUUUUAACAAGUAACUUUUACAGUUUUGUCAACCACAUACGUGUCCAUAAGCUGAGGAAUUUCAAGCAAGUCAAGUAAAGUACUGUGAUUUGCUAGCAAUGUUUGGUUCAUCUUCCUCUUCUCCAAAAUCUGUUCAGCAGACUCAAUGAAUUCAGUGCAACCAGAUGUCAGUUUUGGGAUCUCAAUUAUCUGCAAAACAAGGAAAACCAUAUCAGAAGAGCUUCAGUUAUAAUCUCUCCUUGCCAGUACCAAGCUAUUAGAAAAUCCAACAUGACCAUCAGUUUUCUAUAUUUUCAUAGUUUGAAUCUAGAGAGAUGAGAGUAUGCAAAUGUUAAUAAUAUGCCUCGCAAGCCAAUCAUUAUAUUUAUUAUGCUUUAUGAUUAUGUGAUGCAACCAAACGUCACUCUGUCAGAUUAUCAAAAAUUGUGCUAUGUCACAUUGUCUAGUUUCAGAUCCUAACUGGAACUUUGUCUUGCCAAUUUGCACUUCCACUCUGAGAUAACUUCCUCCCAAAACAAUGCAUGUACUACUUGAAAGUCCACAAUGUUUGAUAAACACACAUAUUGGACAUUUCAUCUCAUAAGAAAUGCACUUUCCUAUUCUGAAUGGAAAUUUUUUUAAAAAGAUCUUGUAAUUACCAGGGAUUCAAGAUGUUUAUCAAUAGAAGUCACUUCCUCUCUUAUUGCAAGCAAUGCAUCAGCUGCUGCAAUGAAGGCACGGUAGUUUCCAACUGCCACCUCCUGCAUUUGCCUCUGAAUUCGCUCUGCAUCUACUCGUAGAAGCUCCGGUUCCUUUAAACCACGAUAAAAUUAAUGAACAAAACUUACAGAAUUAAGUAUUCAAUUUACAAGUAAUUCAAACAGUGCCAAAAGAUAUGCACGCAUAUGUACCUUGUGUAGCCUAUCCAGAGUGAAGGAGAGAAGCUCAGAGACGUAAGGUUGUUGAGAGACAGAGGCGAGAGGAAGGAGACCUUCCACAGUCUGUAACGACAACAUCGUGUCUUUACCACUCUCUGAUUCCAUUUUUGUCUUCUCUUCUUCAGUUUAACAAGGGCUUCUGGAUCUUCAAGCAGAUAAUCAAAUCAGAACUUGUAUUUAAUAAUCAAUAACUUUAACUUUAAGCAUCUAACACUUUAUCUUGUAAUGCGGAGCUCCUUAGCUUGGCUAGUAUAGUGUUUCCUUGGUUAGAUCUAGGAGUUUACGUUAAGGACUAAUCGUGUUUCUUUUCCCGUUUGUUUCUCGUGAAAUUUACACACAGCACGAGACUUUGUUUUUAAUAUGUAACUUUGUUACAUUUCAUUGGAUUUACAUUUAGCCGGUUAAUGAAAAGUUCAAGAGACCGAAGAUAGAUAUCAGCAAUUUCGAGUUUAUAACCUCCAAUUUUACAUAAAAAUCUACAUGAAAUCACAACCAAGGUGAUUAACAGAUCCAGCCACGGAAAUGUCCAAAAUUCUCAAUUCAAAUUUAUCAAAUUCGAUCUCGAAAAUGAAACACAAAACCAGUCUAUGAAUGUAUAGAUAACCGACCGAUAACAAAAUCGAGACCCGCACGUUUAGACUUCAAGCGAAUAACGAGCUCUGGUUUUAUGAAAUUACCUGAAGAAGGAAGAGGAUAGGAGAGCCAAGGCUGCACCGUGAGUUCGACAAAAGGCGUGUGUCAGCUCCGUAACCGGAAACUAAGUACCCGCGAAAGAAAUUUGAUCUGACGAAGAAGAUUAGAAGAAAAUUGUGGGGAGAAAGAGUUGCAGAGAGACGAGGUGUGAGGGAAGAGUUGGAUGGGCUUGGGCGUAACCAAACAAAAUGGAUUUGAAAACAAAAAGACAAUGAGCUCUCUGCCUUAUGAGUUGGGCUGGCCUUUUAUGGGCUUGUGAGGUGUGGACUUCUGACAGUUUGUAAGUUUGAGUUUAUUGACAGUUUUACCCUUGUUUAAAGUUUAAUUUUAUAAAUUUUUUGAAAAUUUUAAUUUCAGAAAAUAGAAUAUAUAAAAUAAAAAUUUAAAUAAUAACCCAAAUACGUAAAACAUAAUUAAUUUUAAAAUGUUAAACAAUUAAUAUAUAUAAAUUAAAUUAAAAAAAUUAGUAAAAUAUAUUUACAAACUCGUAAAAUUUAAAUUUCUAGAGAUAUUCAAAUGAAAUUGUGAGAAUAUAUUUAAAUUAUUUCGCUUGAUCAUAUUUUAAAAGAAAAGGCAAAUUUUGAAUUAAAAAAAAAAAGGUUGGUCCAACUCGUAAUUAAAUAAAUUUAAAUCCUAAAAGUAUACCCAAAAAAAUAUAUAUAUAUAUAUAAUGUAAAGUUAUGGUGGUCACGACCGAAAGUUAAAGUCGUGUUUGGCAAAUAAAUAGCGACGGUCUCCCAACUUUCUUCUCUAUGACCUAAAACGACGACGUGCAGCCGAUUUAUGACGGUUUAGAAUCUCCUCCAAACAAGUGGCAUCAAUAUAACCAUCGUGUAAAUAAACCUUGACAUUAACACCAAUACAUCUCCCAAUUUGAUACUUCCACUGAUUUUAAAUCCCACGAAAUGAUAGAGACAUUGCUGUAGUAGUUUUUUUAAAAAAAUAAAUAAUUCGUUUUUAACUGCAACAAUCAAAACAUUAAUUAAUUAAUUGAAAUUCGUGAUGACUUUUAAAUAAAAUAUAAUUAUUUUAAUUAUUAUAUUAUUAAUGAUAAUAUUAAAAUAAAUUUAUUAUAUAAAAAAUAAAAACUUAAAAAAUUUGUAUAUAAAUAUACACUAAUAAAUUAAAUUAUCAAUUUUAUUUAAUUAAAUAUCACAUAUAAUAAUAAUAUUUUAUAUUUUUAAUAAAUUUAUAUUUAUGACCAUCGAAUAUUAUGAUUUUACUAAUUUAUUGGGUACACAAAAUUAAAGUUAUGGGGUCACUAUCAACCUCAAAAUAUAUGACUCAUCUUGCUUGUCAUAUCAUAUCAUAUCAUAUAUAUAUAUAUAUAUAUAUAUAUAUUUAUAUAGAUAUCGUGAACCAUCAUAAUUCAAUGUAUUAUUUAUGUUUCGGUUGGUAACAUUUUUUUCAGGACUAUUCUAGAUGUUUCCUGAAUUUCUUAGUCUAAUCUUAUCAUUCAUUAAAUUUCGAUUUUUAAGUUUAAUAUUAUUUUUACUGCUAAAUCAAUAAAAUAUAAUUAAAUAAACUAUGAUAUAAUACUUUAGAUAAUGACGAUUUUGGCAGUAAAAUUAAGUAACUACGAUUAAUUUUUACUGGUUUACCGUAAGAAAAUGACCCAAGUGACGCAGACCCAUCGGUGUUAAAACUGGUCAGGCCAGACCCAGAUGGCGCAGUUGUGGCGGGACUCAUGGCCCGUGGCUCGGGACAACUGGGGUGCAGCCACUCAAGCCAUGAAGGUCAUGUGGGGUACUUGAACAGUCUCUGUAGUGUCCUUCACAGCUUAGCUUGCUCCAAGUCUCCAACACAUUAGGUCCCAUUUUACUAAUCCUGGUCCAUUCUGCUCUACGUACACAUAUAUACGUAUCUACCCAUAUAUAUAUAUAUAUAUAUAUAUAUAUCUCUCUGAGUUAAGUGGUCUCCGAGUUAAAUGUUUAGAUGGGUUUUCUGGAUUUUGCUUAUUAUGAUGUACUCGUUUUACAUCUAAUAAAUAUUAACUAUUAAAAAUUCAUACAAGAUUUUAGAAACUAUAUAUUUUUACAUUUUGUAAUUUUCAAUCUAUAGUCAAAAUGUACACAAUUUUCGUAUUUAUAAAUUAUAAGCCAUGUAAUCAUAUCAUAAACAGUGUAUAAAUUCCAAUAAUUUAUAAAGUAACUUAUCAAUAUUUUAUAUAAUGCACAUGCUGAAAUGACACGUCGGAUAUGGCCCGCUUAAUGCCUAUCUAGAAUAAUGUGGAGUAGACUUAUGUUCUCAUUGUUUGGAAUUUUAAUAUCCUUAAAACUUAAUUCAUAAUUAAAGUCAGGAUUCUUAUUUUUAUUUAUAUUAUUAAUUAAAAUUUAUUUACAUUAUAAUAUAAUAAUUAAUAUGUAUGUAUUAUUUAAUUACUAAAUAUAUAAAUCUGUAUAAAUAAUAAUAAUAAUAAUAAUAAUAAAUUAAUGUUAAUUUUUAAUAUAUUACAUAAUGUAUGCAGUAUUCUUUUCUGAGUUUGAACUAAUAGCCAAUUUUUUUUUUUAAUUAAAAACUCAUUUGGUAAAACAUCGUUGUUUAUUAUUUAUAAAGUUCAAAAACAUAAUCUAAACAAUAACUAAUACCCAUUACAAUUCAGACUAAAUAUUUUAAAUUUAUAGAAUUUUUAAUAAUUAAAAUUAUAAAUAGAGAACAAAUUAUGUGUAAAUAUAAUGUAAAUAUUUGUUGUGAAUUUAAUUAUAAUAUUUUGCGAACAUUUAUUUAUAAAAUUUACCAUUUUAUUCUUAGUUUGGGAAUUUAAUUUUAGAAAAUAAAGUAUUAUUUUUAUUUUUUUAUUAAAUUAUUUACCAUCUAAAAAUAAAUAAAUAUUACUAUAAAUUGGCACGAGACAAGAGUAAUUAUAAAACUCAUUAUUGUCAUAUUGUCUUCGCCCAAGAACCGGGUCAAGAUUUUUUUGGCCCGACUCCGAUAUUAUUCCAACCCGUGAUUAAGUGAUUGACAAUUGACAUGUACAUUACAAUUUUAUGUUAUUUUUACAAUAAAUCUGGGUAUUUUAUUUAUUAUUAAAUACAAUUUGUGUAUUUAUUUAAUUUAUUAAAAUUAAAAUAUCAUUUAUUUUUGCUAGGCUAAAAAGAAUAAUAUUUAUACUCCCUCGUGUUUUCUUGUCCCGAAGCGUUACAACUUGAUUACACACAUUAAGUACACACUCGUCCUGCAUUCCAUUUAUGCACACCACUCAAUCCAUCCAAUCAGAUAAUUUAUCUGUACCUCACAUCUCCCUUGCACACACAAAUUACACAACACCUCAGAGCCUCUCCGAAUCUCCCUCUUCCUUGUUCUGUUUUUAUCUGUUUAGUUUAAUCAAAAUCCAUAUUUUCCGUUCUCUACGGACCCAAAAGAAGACUGAGAAUCCGUCAAAGGUGGACGUAAGCCAGGAGAUUGUAUACAUAAAACUCGACCCAAAAAGAGGGGGAGAAGAGGAAAUUCAACCAGUGGCGCCUGGUACCUGACCGGUUUUCUUGGUGGGUAUUUCAGGUUCAAGGGCUACCGUUGCAAGCUUUGCCGUCUCCUGGUCUGUUCAUCACUGCCAUAUUCAUGGACCUUAAACCUCCUCUGGUUUGAUUUCUCUUCGGGGUCUUCUUCUUCUUCUAUUCACUCUGUUCUUCAAAGAAGACCCUCGAGUUCGAGCUUGCAAUUCGACGGCUGCCCUGUCUUUACCUCUCGUCAAUCGGCAUUUCUGGCUUCGUUUUUAAGGUUCAGGAUCCAGGUCCCCUGUAAUUUUUUUUUCCGAUUUCCGAGAUUCAGAUUCUUUCGGGUUCCGCACAGUUUUCAUUUUCUCGAGAAUCUUUCUGGUUUCUCAAGAAUCGAGGAAGGGCAUAGUCAUAUUUGUGCGUUUUGUUUCUUGUCAUAAGCUGGGCGGAUUUAGAGAAACGAAUACGAUGAGCGCAGCGGUCCAUUUCAGCCCGCAGAUACCAGUCCUCCAGACGGCGACCUCGUCGCCAUCGCUGAACCGGAGGCAGCCGCUUUUGGGACGACGCAGCGGCCGAUUCAUGUCGGAGGGGGCAGGGGAGGUGCCGUCACCCAGAGGCUGUAACGGUGCCAGGUUCGGGAGGUUUGCGGAGGGACAACCGCGGAUGCGCUGCUGUAUGUUGCUGUUGCCCGUGCGGGCUGAUGAACCUNNNNNNNNNNNNNNNNNNNNNNNNNNNNNNNNNNNNNNNNNNNNNNNNNNNNNNNNNNNNNNNNNNNNNNNNNNNNNNNNNNNNNNNNNNNNNNNNNNNNNNNNNNNNNNNNNNNNNNNNNNNNNNNNNNNNNNNNNNNNNNNNNNNNNNNNNNNNNNNNNNNNNNNNNNNNNNNNNNNNNNNNNNNNNNNNNNNNNNNNNNNNNNNNNNNNNNNNNNNNNNNNNNNNNNNNNNNNNNNNNNNNNNNNNNNNNNNNNNNNNNNNNNNNNNNNNNNNNNNNNNNNNNNNNNNNNNNNNNNNNNNNNNNNNNNUUUCCCCCUGGGAAACGCCAGUGUCUCCUGUUUCCAGAAGCAGCUUACUGAAAAGUGCAUCUCAGAGAGAGUCACCCUUAGCCAGGGCUGUCGUGCACCUGUAACCAAACAGGAACUCUUCUUCUGGUGUGAAUGUAAAAUGGCACAAUCAACUUAUGUGCCAACCGGGUAAAAAUACAUAAAUAUAUAUCGAUUGACCCCAUAUAAAUUCUGGCUUUCUUUUUCUUUUCUCAAUUGCUUCUUCUCUUUUGUUGAUUUAACACGACGGUUGGAUUAUUGGGUUCUGUUUGAAGAUUAAGGCCGUGUUUGGUCGAGAUUUUUUUACUUACUGUUUCUUAUCUAGAUUUGUCUCAAAUUUGGUGUCUGACCAAACGAGGUGUUGCGGACUCUUACUACAUGUACAUCCAAUCGUGGUAGUCUUUUGAAUGAUUCGAAAAAGAAAAAAAAAAAGGCCUCCCAUUCAUGAUCCUGUAAAUGGGUUUCUUUCCUCUUUGCAUAUAAAUAUAUAUAUAUAUAUAUAUAAUGUGUGAGUUUAGAGAUCGGAGUGGAUAGAAGAAUGUAUGAUAUUUGGACUUGGGUAUGUUUAGUCUUUCUGGUUUUUCACUGUUGCGAACGUGUAUGAAACUNNNNNNNNNNNNNNNNNNNNNNNNNNNNNNNNNNNNNNNNNNNNNNNNNNNNNNNNNNNNNNNNNNNNNNNNNNNNNNNNNNNNNNNNNNNNNNNNNNNNNNNNNNNNNNNNNNNNNNNNNNNNNNNNNNNNNNNNNNNNNNNNNNNNNNNNNNNNNNNNNNNNNNNNNNNNNNNNNNNNNNNNNNNNNNNNNNNNNNNNNNNNNNNNNNNNNNNNNNNNNNNNNNNNNNNNNNNNNNNNNNNNNNNNNNNNNNNNNNNNNNNNNNNNNNNNNNNNNNNNNNNNNNNNNNNNNNNNNNNNNNNNNNNNNUUUUUUUUUAAUUAAAUUAAUAAUAAAUUUGAUAUAAAAUUUUACGCGAGGACAGCUUUAUGUUAUUUUUUAAAAAAAAUAUAUAAUUAUCAUUAUAUUAUAAUUAAAUGAUGUAAUUUAUACGUUUUUAUAAUGUUUGUUAAACCCAUUAAGAAAAAUAAAACAUUAUUAAACAAAAUUUUUUAAAGGAAAUAAUCGUUUUAAUGUUAUUAAAAUAUUUAUUUUGAAUAUCAUAUGAAACUUGGAAAAAGCAAAUCCAAUAACGUUGCGGUAUUAACUUUUCAUCACUCACCAAGAAGUGCAUCGUGGCAAAUGAUUCAACAAAUGCAAAUAUCAUAUACAUAUAUAUAUAUAUCUAUAUAUAUAUAUACAUAUAUAUAUACACACACACACACAUAUGUAUAUAAGAGGUGGAAAAGUUAUUUAUAUUUUUAAUAGACGCCGAAAUCAGAUUCCAUAAUCAUUUAAUUUGGCUAAUGGAUCAUUAAAUUUAAUACCCCCUCCUAAUCAUAUUGUCUUAAAGCUAUUAUCCCUCCUUUAAUUAAUUAUAUAUUUUAAUAAAUAUGUUAUUGAUGUAUGAUUAUAUAGUUUGGUAAAAUUAAACCAUAAAAUAUAAAAUAAAAAUUAAUUUAAUUUAUUAAUUAAAGUUUUUUAUAUUUUACUUAAAGUAUAUCAAUAAAAUUUUAUAACUUAAUUUAUUAGAAUAUGAUAAGACUAUAUAUAUUAAAUUUAGUUUAUUUUCAAUAAGUUAUUACACGUUUGAUGAAAUUAGAAUUUUAUUAAAGUUAAAUUAUUAAAAAAUAAUAAUUUAAUAAAAUUUUCAAAUAAACCCAUGUUGAAGUUUUUAUAUAUUAAAUAUGAAAUUUCUUACUUAUUUAUAAUAAUAAUGAUGAAAUUGACUUCACUUUAUUAUGUUUGAUUUGACUAAAUUUCUUACAAAAGCAAAAUGUAAGCACUUCCACUAAUGCAAUGACUCGUGCUAACAUUAUAUAUACAUAUACAUAUACAUAUAUAUAUAUAUAAUAUUAUGGUGGAAAAAUAGAAACCCAACUUUUUUUUUUUGGCAUUUUUAAAUUCCAAUUCAAUGCUACAUAUUCAUAUAAAUACAAAUAUUUUAGAUUUUUGUAUUUAACCAUUGUAGAUGUGUCAUGUUAUUGUUAUUGAGCAAUGGGAUUUAAAAAUUAUUAAAAUUUUGAAAAAUAUUUGGGUUAUUAUUUUUUUAGUAAAAGCCCAAUAUUUUAUUUUAUAUUAUGGUCGAUAAAUAUUAUUAUAUGAUUAUAAAAUAUUUUAAGAAUUACUAUUUUAUUUUUUAUUUUUUUGCUAUAAAGUUUUUGGAGAGAAAAAACUUUGACUUUUUUUGUCAAAUUAAAUAAGAAAAAAGAAGUUCGAUUUUUUUUUUUUAAAAAAGAGGAAGACUCAUUCUCAUGGGUUAUGGGCCAGGCCCAUUAACCGGCUUCAUUGGGCUUUUAAUGGGCUCUUGGGUUUUUCGUUUUCAUUAGCAUUUUUUUUAAUUAUUUAUAAAUAUUAGUUUAAUGAAAGUAUUUUUGUUUACAAUAUAGGUUUAAAUUUAAUUAUAAUACCAUAAUUUACUUUUUUAAGUUUUACUAAUUUUACAAUAUUUAAAUACAUUAUUCAAAUUUUAUUUUUAUUUCUUUGGAGUAAAUUUUUAAUAUAAAACCUAUUACGUGUAUAUUUAUUUUUAUGUUCCCUCAUCGUCUAUAGUUAUCAACAUUGAUAUUAUAAAAAAUGGUUGAUAAUUAUAAAUAAUUAAAAAUGAUAUUAAAUUACGAUGAAUAAUCAUAAUUAUAAUUGUUGAAUUUAAUCGAGUGGUUCGUCAAUGAUAGAACUCCAUCCAAUUUGAAUUAAUAAUUAAUAGUUGUCAUUACUCGACAAUUAUCACUUGAAUUCAAUAAGUAGUCAGUUUUCACGAUCUAACAGAGUUUGAAAAUAAAGUACAUAAAAAAAUUACUCUCUCUCUCUCUUUAAAGUUAUUCUUAUGUGAUUCAUGUAAAAAAUAAAAUAUUUAUGUUAAUUUUUUUAAUAAAAAAUAUAAAUUUUUACAAAAAAAUAUUUACUUUAAAUAUUUUCAUACAAUUGGUUGUUUGAUAAUAUAAUUAUAUGUAUUGUUAUGCAUAUUAAUAUUAAAAAAUUAUGUUUUUUUUUUGUAAAUUACGUAUUAAUUUAAUAAAUUUUUAAUAAAAAUAAUUAAAUAUUAUAUGACAAAAUGUCAUUGAAGAUAAUAUUAAAUAAUAAUAAAAAUUAAAAGUAUUAAAUAAUUUUUGUUUACACAUCACCAAGAAGAUAUAUUAAAUUGUUAUUUGUAAUAAAUAAUAUAAUUAAAUUUGAAAUAAAAUUUAAAAUAAAUUAGAUAUUUUUCUAAUUAGUCCGCGAUUACUAAAAGAAAUUACAUAUUUAAAAGAAAAAGGACUAAAAUGUAAAAACAAAUUAAGGUGGGGGUAUUUAAGUUAUAACAGAAUAUACUCUUCUUCAUCACGAGGUUCGAGAAUAGAUAAUCAUAAGAUCCGAUUGUGAAACAGAGAGAGGUUUCUCCUUUUUUGGGGUUAUGGUGGUGGUGGUGGGGGAUUUGUCGUUCUUAAUUUGCCAACGCAGGAAACAGACAAACAAAAACACAUCCCUUAAAUUUUAAAGGUAAAGGUGGUUGGGUUGGGUUUUCAUUUUUUUCUUUCUUUAUCUCUCUACCUAUCUCCAUCAUUGCACUAAUCAUUAUCAUCAUAAUCGUCGUCUUCUUCUUCUUCUUCCUCUUCUCUGAAUUCUAGGACUUGUCAUUUCUUGUUAUGGAUCCCUAAUAUUCUCUACGCAACAAGGGGAUCUUCCUCAUUUCAUGGGGGUGCGCUGAGUUUCUCGAUCCAUUUUUUUUUGGAACCAUUUCUGGUUCUGUUCGCGGAGGUAAACCCCUGUUGUUUUUCUUCUUUCAUUCCUUUUAUCCGCCUUUAGAAACGUCUGUUAAUGUUUUAUGAUCUUUAUUUUGAAAAUAUGAGAAAUUGAUUCGUGGAUUUUGUGUAUGUUAACCGAUUUUACCGUCGAUGUUCAUGAGUAGAUAUUCUUGGCAAUUUCAUAUAUUUUUUUUCUUUAUUUUUGCCUCUCGGGUCUGUUUCUAUGUAAAACAUUAUAGCUCCUUGAAGAGAUUUUUGUUUGUCUUUUUUUUUUUUUCUGAUGCAUGAACAUGAUGAUUGCUUUCCUUCUUUAUCAUAUCUAUUUUCACUGCUAUAUGUAUAUAUGCAUGAAUAUAUCAUUUUGAGUUGCCGACCGAAAUCAUGUAUUUGGUUCUUUGGUGUUUUUCAUUUCCCAAAAGUAGCUCUCGUGGGAAAUUCAUAAAACUUUGCAUACUCAAAAUUUGUUAUCUGAGUUAAAUCUUAUAAAUGAUAUCUGGAUUUGGUAAGGGCCUGCUUCCUAAAUUCUUAAGAGCCUAUUGGAAAAUGUCAAUCAUGUUAUAAUUGCUAUAGUCAUCUUCUAGCUCUGCUUUCAAUAUGCGCUUUUUUAUGCAUCAGCAAUAGAAGAUCAUAAAAUUCAAUACGAAUUUUAGUUAGCUAUGCCCUUAUUCCUUUCGCUUGUGUUUUGAAAGGUUAUGGAGAUGGAGGAGGGCAAUAAGUCUGAAACUAGUCUUACAUCAGCUGCUGCCUUUGUGGAAGGAGGUAUACAAGAUGCCUGCGAUGAUACUUGCAGCAUAUGCCUCGAGGAGUUCACUGAUAGUGAUCCUUCAACGGUAAUUCAUAUCUUGUAGCUUCCCGUUCUUACUGCUUCUUUCAUUAUGGUGUGUUUCUAAAUGUUCUUUCUGUGCAUAGGUGAUUUAAAUUUAGUUAUUGUUCUGUUUAUUGCAUUGCAGGUGACCUCUUGCAAGCACGAGUAUCAUCUUCAAUGCAUCCUCGAAUGGUAGCUUAAUAUAUUUUUGAAGUUAUCAUCUUUUCUUUCUAAUUUAACAGAUGUUGGUUUUCUUUAUGGCUUUUGACUUUCUUGAAACAAUUUUUUGUAUGAGCUUUCAUGUGGCAGGCGUUCUAGAAUAUUUAUCUUUGCCAAUCAUUAAACACAAACACACACAAAAACACAUAUUGAAGAUAGUUCUGGAGACGUGGGUUGAAAUCUCUAAUGGAACCAAAUGGUUAGUGGGUUUGGGGAGAUGAGAGGGCAAGGGAGAGGAGGAUAAUCGUGUAAUUUGGAGUUGGGGUUUGAGAGGGGUCAGGAGUCAAAAGAUCUUUGAAAAAACAGAUAAGUAACGAUAUAAUUUUACGAUAUAAUUCUAACACACACAAGCACACACACACAUUUGUAUUCUUAAUAAUAUUUUUUUCUAAACUGGGUCAAUUUAUUGCAGGGUCUUCUUUCUCCAUGUUUUAAACAUUGUUUUCUCACAUUCAAUUAAAUAUGCACCAAAAAAACACUCUGUUGUAGGUCAAGGAAAUGUGUAUCAUUAGCUUGCAUCUGGGGUAACAAUAUAGAUUUUUCCUGGAAUAUUCUAAAUCCUAGCCAAAUCUCUAAUUCAAACACCUUAGAACUAUGCCUAUCUUUUUCUUCUAAUUUCACCAAAUACUUCGUAGAAUAAGAGAAGAAUAUCUUACAUCACUUCCAUAUUGGAGUGUAGUUGAAGUCUAAAUUUUUACUUUAAAGGAACUGUUGAAGAAAACUUUCAAUUUUAAAAUUGAGUAACGGAUGUUAGCAUUUCAUUUACAGGUGCCAGAGGAGCUCUCAGUGUCCCAUGUGUUGGCAAGAUGUUAGCCUGAAAGAUCCUGCCAGGUUGAUUUUGGUUCUAAUAUUUGCUUCUAACCUUUUUGAGACUGUACCUCCUUUGCAAGAUCUGAUGAGUGUGUGUUGGCAGUCAAGAAUUGCUUGAAGCAGUGGAAACGGGAGAGGAGAUUUAGGGUUACUUCAUCAAGAAAUUCAGCCGUAUUUCAUCAUACCACACUUGGUGAAUUCGAAUUGCAGCAUGUCCGUUCAUACUAUGACAUCUACUCUUUUGUGUGUGUGUGCGUGCGUGUGUGUGUGUGUAUUGUGUGAAUAUUUGAUUGGUUUAUUACAUAUACGGUGUUCCCUUCUAAUAAUACUGAAUAUAAGUUUAUAUAAUUAUGCAGUUACCAGUUGGUGCAAGUGAUUCUGAACUUGAAGAGCGGAUAAUUCAGCACUUGGCAGCAGCAGCUGCCAUGGGAAGAGCCCACCAAAUUGGUAGGAGGGAAGGCCAGAGAAUUCGAUCAUCUGCUCACGGCCGCCCGCAAUUCUUGGUAUUCUCUUCUCAUCCAAAUGCACCAGAAUCUGGUUCUGUUCCAUCCUCUCUAGUUCAAGUAGAAGGUCAAACUGAACCAGCUGCAAUCAAUGUUGUCACUCCAUCCAUUCCCCUGUCUUCCGGUCGGGAUGAGUCAGUCCAGCAUAUUUCUCGAACUCGAUCUAGUCGAACUUUUCAUUCUGCAUCUGGGUCUAGCUCAAUGCCAACAAAUAGACGGGGAUUGUCCCUUAAUAAUCAUCGGUAAUCAUGAGCUCCAUUUUCUUCCCUUUGCAUCCUCAAGCACUGUUUCUGAUGCCAGAUCUUUAUCUUUGGAAAAUAUUUUAUACAUCUAUUUUUAUCUUAUUUCAUUGGCUUUUUUAUUCCAGAAACAUCUCUGGUCCUUCCUCACCAUCAAAUCAAGAUGGAGCAGGAUCAUCAGACUUCCAUUCUUUCUCUGAGUCCCUGAAAUCUAGAUUUAAUGCUGUGUCAAUGAGGUACGAAUUACUUAGGAGAUUAGUUAGUCAACAUGUAUUACUAAUUCGCUAUUAAUGCCAUCCUAAAAUCCAGGUACAGGGAUUCAAUUUCAAAGAGUGCGAGAGGGUGGAAAGAAAGGUUCUUCUCCCGUACUUCGAUGUCUGAUAUUAGCUCUGAAGUUCGAAGGGAAGUGAAUGCUGGAAUUGCUAGUGUAUCUUGCAUGAUGGAGCGUCUUGGAAGUAGAGAAAACAAUAGACCCGGCCAAGCUUCUUUAUCAUCCGAUCACUCCACUAAUUGUCCAGUGACAGAGGAAAACCAGCAGAACAAUGCAGUGGGUCGCAGAGUAGACUCUUUGGAUGAGAGUAAUAUCCGGCCUCCUCCUUACGUUCCAAGUGCUGGCUCCAUUCCAUCUUAAUUCAUUAUAUGUCGGUUCAGCGAUGACAUCAAUCCUCAGUGUUUCGUUUUUUUGAAGGUGAGGCACGUUGCUCCAUACGAAUAUCAACUCAGUCACUGCAAACUUUAUAUUAAGCACAUAAGUAUUAUAAUCUGAAACUCACCGAGUCUGAAAUUUUCAGGUUGUCAAGUGGUUUCUCUGAAAUGAAAUGAUGAGAGGAGGAGAUGCAGCCGGAUCGGGUUACGGCAAUGUGAGAAAUAAAGGAGAGAUGAAGACUUGUAUAACCAACCAGGUUUUACUGAAUUUGUUUAUAACACCAAUUUUAGAACAGACGACAGAGUAUAUAUAUAUAUAUGUCAUUUAUGUAUUUAACAAUGCCUUGCCUGGCCAUUUUCUAACCAGAAUGAAAAUGGUUAUCAGAACUCGAUGGAACUUGAAAAGCUUGUAUGUUCUUACUUGGGAGUUUGGGAAUAAUAUAUCUAUAUAUAUAUAUAUAUAUAUGUAUAUGGAUAUGUGUAUACUGGUGUGGUAUACAAUAUAAGCUGUACUUCUAGAAUGGCCAUUUUUUUGGAUGAUCUGGUUUUUCUUGGCAUGAAACUAGGGUUCCAUUUGUACAAUAUAUUUAUAAAUAUAUUCCAAUAUUAAAUUUUUUAAUAUAAUUUAUCUAAAAACUAAAAAACUAUCGGCCUAAAUUCGAUUUAUUUUGUCAAAAUUAUUAUAUUUGAUUUUUGCUCCGCGAUUAUUUGAUUAAUAAUCAUUAUGAUGAUAAUAAUAAUAAUAAUAAUAAUUUGGAAUUAUUCAGUGGGUACCAAUAAGAUGACCCGGGGGUCACUUGUCACCGACCAGGGGGGAAUCCAAUGAUAAUGGGCCCCUACGCUGGUUAUUCCAUUUUCUAAGUAUUAUUAUUGUGCACGUUAUUCUUUUUAACUCAAAACGUAUAAUAAAUUAAAAUAUAAAUUAUUAAAUUUCACGGAUUAAUAUAAUAUUUUCCUAUAAAUUAAAUAAAUAUUUGAAUCAGUGUCUACUCUUGCUAAUUUCUCUAUUUUAUUUUAAGAAAACUAUUACUUGAGCCUCUCUCUCUCUCUCUCUCUAUAUAUAUAUAUGCAUAUGUUAUAUUAUAAAGUAAACAAUUAAAAGUCACAAAUUAAUACACAUAGUUGUUGAAGAACCCAUUAGUUAGAAAGUUGUUGUCACGACCAAUUUUUUCUUAUAUGUAUAUGUACAUGCAUAUAAUCAAAUUUAACAUUCUACCGACUAUACUUGCAUAUUCCAAACAUGGCAUUUUAUUUUCCAAUUUUAGACUAACUUAACAUAUAUAAAAAUUUUGUCCCUUUAUUGGUGGUUAGAAUAUAAUUGUUCGAUGCAAUACAAUACAAUAUAUACCCACAUCAAUAAAAGAUAUAUAGAGAAUAAAUUAAUUAAAAAUUAUAUUGAUGUAUUUUCCAAUUAUAUAAUUAAUUUUAAAGUUAUAAACAAAUAAAUACAACAUUAUUUAUAAAAGUCUAAAACCGCAAGCCCAGGCCUCCUCACCAAACCCAAGGACGAGAGUGGGAAUUUGUUUACCGGUGGGUGUCAACACAAAAGGACAAGUGAAGGAGACAAACAACCCACCGGCUGUCUAAACGUCGCCGUUUACUUCUCCUUUUUUUUUUUUUUUUUAAAACCAAAAAAAUCCGAGAGGUACAUAACUUGGCGCAUUCCACGCGCCGUGCCUGUUGGAGAGAGGCGCGUCUUGGUAUAAAGCUUAGCGUAGAAACGAGGCCGCUACUAUUCACACACCGACAACUUCUCUCGAAGUCCCCACGCAUGUGAUAUUCCCUCAUCUCAAGCCGCGCCUUUGUCCUUCCUUGCCACGCGCUUCACAUGGCUUCUCCGCUUUUAUUUAUUACAAAAAUUAUAUUUAGUAUUAACAUUAAUUAACAAUAGUAUGAUAACUAGAGUUAAAUUAAAUUUAUAAUCAAGAUUAAGAAUUAAUUAGAUUAAAAAAAAAGGAUUAAGCAAAAAGUAGGCUUAGCCGAGAGAGGCCAGCUGGGGGAAGAAGCUGACAGUAAGGGAGCAGUCUGCUUCCGUGUGGACCCCACAUCCAGCCUGUCUCAUCACUUCCUUCAUUAAACUCUUCCUUUACUCUCCACUUUCCUUACGACAACACUCUUCCUCUCUCUCUCUCUCUCUCUCAACUUUCUUCUUAUGUCCUUUCCCUGACCCGACCCGACAACCACCUCUCUCCAAUACCCACAAACCGACGCCAUUAACGCACUUCUACUUUUCCCUUCAUUUCUGCUUUUCGCAAAUUCCAAACCACACACCAUCCUCCAGAGGUUAGUCCAAGUAAAGAGACUAUCACAUUCACAUUAAUCGCAACACUGGUUUUUUUCUCUUCUCUAUCUUUGAGCACCAUGGAUUCACACAUCUAUGGUGUCUCCAAGCUCUUACUCUUCGUU